UCUCAAAUAGGUGUGUCUAGCAAGGAUGAUUGUGACAAACUAAAAAGAAAAACAAGCAAAGACUCAUAUAAUACAAGACGCUCCAAGCAAAACUCAUGAUAUGUGACGAAUAAAAAUAUAGCUUCAAGUAAAAUUACCGAUGGUCAUUAGAAGAAAGAGGGGAUGCCUUUCGGGGCAUCCCCAAGCUUGUUGCUUGGUUCUCCUUGAAUAUUACCUUCGGGUGCCAUGGGCAUCCCCAAGCUUAGGCUCUUUUCACUCCUAAUUCCAUCAUCCAUCGUGAUCUCACCCAAAACUUGAAAACUUUAAUCACACAAAACUUAACAAAAACCUUCGUGAGAUCUGUUAGUAUAAUAAAGCAAAUCACCACUUUAAAUACUGUUGCAAACCCAUUGAUAUUUUAUUAUUGCAUUAUACCUACUGUAUUAUAUCUUUACCAUGGCUUAUACCCCCGAUACAAUCCAUAGAUUCAUCAAAAUAAGCAAACGAUGCAAUGAAAACAGAAUCUGUAAAAAACAGAACAGUCUGUAGUAAUCUCGGCUUUAACCAUACUUAUGUAACUCCAAAAAUUCUUAAAAAUUAGGACAGCGUAGGCAAUUUGUAUAUCAAUCGUGUGUAUAAAAUUCAGAAUUUUAUCACGCUUCUAUGAUUUUUAACAAUUCUACUACUGGGCACAAAAGUUUCUGUUUUCCAACAAAAUCAAAUCAACUAUCACCCAACAUGAUCCUAAAGGCUUUACUUGGCACAAACACUAAUUAGAACAUAAAAACACAAUAAUAACAGUAGCAUAAUUGUUUCAACACACAAAAACAGAAAGAAAAAGAGAAAAUAUAUUUUUAUUCAUUGGGUUGCCUCCCAACAAGCACUAUCGUUUUAUGCCCCUAGCUAGGCAUAAUACAUAGAUUCAAGUAUUGUCAUGUUUAGUUUUUUGCUCCAUAGGUUACCCUCAUGAUUGACUCAUAUGGUGGCUUAAUUCUAAUUCUAGGGAAGUGUUCCAUACCCUUUCUCAAAGGAAACUGAAAUUUAAUAUUCCCUUCUUUCAUAUCAAUCACGACACCUAUAGUUCGUAAAAAUGGUCUACCAAGUAUUAUAGGACAAGACGGAUUGCAGUCAAUAUCAAGAACAAUAAAAUCUAUGGUCAUAUUUGCAAGAAUAAGAACAUCAUUAGUUCUUCCCAAAGGUUUUUUAAUAGUAGAAUCCGCCAAGUGCAAAUUAAGAGAGCAUUCUUCAAUAUUGGUAAAACCAAGCACAUCACAAAGAGAUUUCAGAAUUGUGGAAACACUAGCACCCAAAUCACAUAGAGCAUAGCACUCAUAAUUUUUAAUCUUGACUUUAAUGGUGGGUUCCCAUUCAUCAUAUAAUUUUUUAGGAAUUGAAAUCUCUAGUUCUAGUUUUUCUUCUAAAGCUUUCAUCAUCGCUUCUACAAUAUGUUUAGUAAAAGCUUUAUUUUGUUCAUAGGCAUUGGGUGUUUAUCAUGGAUUGAACAAAGAAAUUCAUUCAAUCAAAUAGCAACAAUCAUAAUUAAAGUCUUUAUAAUACAAAAGAGUGGGCACAUCACUAGUUAAAGUUUUGACCUCUCCAAACCCAUUUUUAUCAAAUUUUUCAACAAGAUUUUCACCCCCCCCCCCCGAAUUAUGAGGACGCCUUCUCGCUAAAGUUGACUCUUCUUCAGUCCUCUUAUCAUCAAUUUUAACAUUACUAAACAAGGAAUCAAUAGAAGAAACACCAAUCAUUUUAAGAACUUCAUCAUUAUGGUGAACGCAAUCGGGUGAAAACGCUCUUUCUAAAAAUUAUCUUUGAGCUCUAUGCAUAGCGGUUAUUUUCUUACUUUCAUCCAUAGAAACAUAUAAAGCUUUAAUUGAUUCAUUAAUAUCAACCUUGGGUGGAAAAAAUUAAUCUUGAGAUUUUCUACAUCAUGAGUAAUUCUAUCAAUGCUUCUAGACAUAUCAUCAAUCUUACUCAAUUUUUCUUCUGUCGUAGUGUUGAAAACUUUUGGCGCAUUGAUAAAUUAUUUAAUAUUACUCUCAAGAUCAGAGGGCAUCCUAUUAUUAUUAGAGAAAUUACCAUAGGAAUUGCCAUAAUUAUUAAAGGAAUUUCAAGGAAAAGGCCUAGGAUUAAAAUUACCUCUAUAAGCAUUGUUAUUAAAAUUGUUUCGCGAGACAAAAUUCACAUCUAUGGAAUCAUUAUUUUGAUCAAUCAAAGUAGACAAAGGCACAUCAUUAAGAUCAAUAGGAGUAGUUUACUAGCAACCAAUUUCAUAAGAGCAUCAACUUUUUCACUCAAAAGUACUAAUUUCUUCAACAGAACUAACUUUUUUUCUAGUAGGAGCUCUUUACGUAUGCCAUUGUGAAUAAUUUGCAAUGUUAUUAUCUAGCAAUUUAGUAGCAUCACCCAAAGUAAUUUCCGUAAAAGUACUAGCUGCGGCAGAAUCUAAAAGAUUUCUAGAAACAAAGUUCAAUCCCACAUAAAUUUUUUGUAUAAUCAUCCAUAGAUUUAAACCAUGAGUAGGACAAUUUCUUAGCAUUAAUUUCAUUCUUUCCCAAGAUUGCGCAACACGUUCAUGCUCAAGUUGUUUAAAGUUCACGAUUUGAUUUCUGAGGGAAAUAAUUUUCACCGGCGGAAAAUAGUUAGUAAUAAAAGCAUCCUUGCACUUAUCCCACGAAUCAAUAGUAUUGUGAGGCAAAGAUUAAAAAACUAAUUUUUGCACGACCUCGCAAAGAAAAAAGAAAUAAUUUUAAUUUCACAACAUCAGUGUCCACAUCUUUUUUCUUUUGCAUAUCACACAAUUCUACUGUCACAUCCCUAGUUCUGGUUUGCUCUAGGCUAGCUAGUCAUGUGUGCAUCAUGUUUAAAUUUCAAUGAAUUUGAAAUGGGGACAUGAGAAAGCCUCAGAAAUCAUUUCUGAAAAAGACCAAGAUAAAUAUUGCUUCAAAUAGGUCCAAGAAAAUGUUCAUGUUUCUCUAUGGAAAUAUUGACCAGAAUUAAAAUUCAAACCAAUAUUUUUAGGAGCUCAUAAAUAUUUGUUUUGGGCAUUUGAAGCUAAUGCAAUAAUUAUUUGCAUUGGAUAUAUAUACAUGUUAUAUAUUUUAUAUAUGUCCAAUAAUUCUGGGUAAAUGUGAGGGGCUCUGGAAUAAUCCAAAUAGUCCCUACAAAAAUUUACCAGAAGCAUAUAAAAUGAUUUAGCGCAGAGACUAAAUCAAAACAGAGUUAAAACAAAUGGGAAAACAGAAACUAAAAUAGAAAGUAAAGAGAGAGAGAGAGGGAGUUACCUGGCCUUUCAGGCGGCCCAGCUGGCGGCCCAGCAGGCUGGCCCAGCCCAGCUUCCCGCCUGUCGUCUUCCUCCUCGUGCCAGUGGGCACGAGGGCGUGUGGCCGCCGCGCGCGCCCACGCGCUUGGCCACCUCCUGCUUGGUUGGCCUCCCCGACCCCUCUGGACGACGCCACGCGCCACCCCGGGCCCUCUCACUCCUCCCUCCAUGCUCAUCCCCUCCCUUGUCUCUCUCCCGCGACAACCGAGCAGAGCUCGUCGCCACCGCUCGCCGUUGCCGCACCCACAGCCUUCCCCGCGCCUCUCCGACGUAACCACGAGCUCCGCCACGACGUCGUCGUCCUCUCCAUCGAGUCACGCGGCGCCAGAAGCCUUGCUGCAUCUCCAACGCCGCCGAUCUCGACCUCGGGCGCCGGUGAUCCCCACCAUCGUUUCGCCGGACCCCGUGCCUCCCCUGCCUCGCCAGCAGCACCAGAAGAACCGCGGUGAGCCGUUGCACCGUUUCCCCCUUGCCUCAUUGCGUGAUUCGCCCCCUAGCCGCAUCAACCACCAGAGCCGACCGCUCCCCGCCGCCGGCCAUGUCGCCACCGCGGUUGCAACACCCGCACGCCGCACCAAAGCACGUAGGCGUGCUCAGCGCUUCCUCAGGAAGCCGCAGACCCCACCAGUUCGCCUCGAAACGCGCUGUGGCGCCUAACCCGUCGGUGCCCGAGCUCCGGCCGCCGCCGCGAGCUCGCUUCCGGCGAGCUCGGUCCGUCCCAGCCCCUCCCGUCUGCCCUAGCAGAUGCACGCGAACGCCAGCUCGCCGUAGCUCCAAACCGCGCCGCAAAUCACCGCCUGUAGCGCCGUCCCGAGCAACUCCGGCGAUCCUCCGCCGUCAGGUUUGGUCGCCGGCGUGCAACUCCGGUGGUUGGUGACGUGGCACCGUCAUUAGCGCUAACAAACCCCCUAGAGUCACUGACAGUGGGCCCCGCAGCGGGUCAAAGCCAGAGUCAACGCGGGGUUAACCAGAGUUCAACACUGUCUCAAUGACAUGCGGGUCCCACCGUCAGGUUUGACCGUGGUUGACUGCUGACGUCGCUAUGACACAUUGCUGACGUCAUAAAUACAUUUGCUGGGAUUUUCUUAUUUAGUAAUAAAUCUGAAAAUUCCAGAAAAUGUUUAAAACUUCAAAAACCCAUAGAAAUUAAUCUAUAACUCCAAAUGAAAUGAUUCAUAUAUGAAAAAUUAUCAGAAAAAUCCAAAGAAUCUGUUUAUGGCAUCCUCAUGCAUGUUUGAACAACUUACAGCCACUAUAUAUGACAAUUUGAAUAAAUGGCAUUUGAAAUGUCUUAUAUGGAGUUUGAAUUUGAACCUAAGGUUCAAACCAACUCCAUUUAAUAUGUGCUAGUUGCAUUAGCUCAAAACACAUUCAUAUUGCCAUGUCAUAGCAUGCAUCAUAUUGUGCAUUGCAUUGAUCGUGUUUCUUCUCUGUUUGCCGGUAUUGUCCCCUCUCAGUAGACGUUGCUUCGACGUGCGAUCGAUGACAUCGAUGAAGAGCUAUACUAUCUUCGGAAGUGUCAGGCAAGCAAAACCCCCCUUGUUCAUUCCGAUACAAUCCCACUCUCUCGCUCCUGCUCUCUUUUACUGCAUUAGGACAACAACGAUCUAUCUGUUACUUGCUGCGGUAGCUGAACCCCUUUAUCCUCUGCAUGACCUGUCAUUGCCACAGUAAAUAGAUGAAACCCACUAGCAUGAGUAGGAGUUGUUUGAGCCCUGAUGUGCCUACUCAUUCAUGUUUGUUUGUCAUGCCUGCUAUUGCUUAGAGUUGUGUCAGGUCUGAUUCAUCGGGAAUGAAUUGGAAAGUUGUGAACAUGUCCUACUGUGUGAGAGCUAAGUGUGUGAACACGAUUUGGUAAAGGUAGCGGUGAGAGGCCAUGUAGGAGUACAUGGUGGGUUGUCUCAUUGAAACCGUCCUCAGGAACUGAGUUCUGUGUUUCUGAUCCAUGAACAGUUACUACCACACAUUGGGCUCCGGGCGCUCCAAGCUCUCUCGACUUACUAAUCAACCUGAUCUCUGUCCAGGAGUUGCAACUAGUUUCUAGUGUUUGUAGGUAGUGUUAGUAGUCUACCAAGUGGCACCCGGUACAGGUGGGCUUGGGACAGACUAGGCACACGUGGCCUGGUGUACCGAGUGGCACCCGGAUGGUGGGCUCGGGAACCCUGCACACAUCGUUUGGGGCCGUGAGCGACACCCUGGCCGGAUCUCCUUGCGGAUGGAACCCGAAUAGGCGAUAAACCUGGACGAGAGACUUGUGUGGUUAGUCAGGUCGUGGCCGACUCCCUCGCCAGGCUUCCGCUUGAAGGUUGCCGAGGUACACGAGGUGUACAUGGUGGUAAGUGGCGAGAGCGUGUGUGACGAAGUACACCCCUGCAGGGUUAAUAUGAUCUAUUCGAAUAGCCGUGUCUGCGGUAAAGGACUUCUGGGUUGCCUGUACAGUUCAUAGACAAGUGGAAGUGGAUACUCUAAAAUGCGCAAGAUAAGCGUGAGUGCUAUGGAUGGCGUUCUCGUAGGGAGACGGGAGCGAAUCCAUAGUGGUGUAUUGAGAUGGCGAAUAUGUGGACUCGUGUGCGCCACCUCAAAAGAGUUACUUGCAGUCAUAGUUUAGGAUAGCCACCGAGUCAAAGCUGGCUUGCUGCAGUCAAACUCCACCACCCCCCUUUGUUGAUACCGAUGCAUAUGUAGCUAGUUCUGAUGUAAGUCUUGCUGGGUACAUUUGUACUCACGUUUGCUUAUUUAUGUUUUUGCAGAAAGACUUCAGUCUCGCUAGUAGUUCCGCGUGGACUUCGACGUUUAGCUUGAUACCUCAGCUACGAUCUUGUGCCCUCGGCAGGAUCUAGUAGAUAGUCAGGCUUCUCAGCCUUUUUCAUUUAUAGUUGUCUGUACUCAGACAUGUUAAGCUUCCGCUUGUGUUUGACUUGUAUGCUCUGAGUGUUGGGUCAUGAGACCCAUGUUUGUAAUAUCUCGCUCUUCGGAGCCUAAUGAAUAAAUACUCUAAGUGGUAGAGUCUUGUUGUGAUGCCAUGUUGUAUUUGCACAUAUCGAGCAUAUUGUGUGUAUGAUUGAAAUGCUUGGUAUGUGUGGGAUCCGACAAUCUAGUUGUCUAUCCUUAGCAGCCUCUCUUAUGGGGAAAUGUAGUCUAGUGCCUCCUUGAGCCAUAGUAGUCCGCUACAGCCCGGUUCACCGGAGUCCUGCUAGCCCAGCACUACUGCUCUGGACACUUGACUGGCCGGCAUGUGUUUCAUAUCGUUCCUGUGUCUGUCCCUUCGGGGAAAUGUCACGCGGUGACAUCCGGAGUCCUGCCUAGCCUGCUACAGCCUGGGUUCCCGGAGUCCUGUUAGCCCAGUGCUACAGCCCGGAUUCGCACGCUGCUGACCGACACGUUCGAUGUUGAUUCAUGUAUGCCUAUCCCCAUACGUUAGCGCCGCUUUGGGUUCACGACUAGCCAUGUCGGCCCGGGUUCUCUGUCAUAUGGAUGCUAGCGACAUUGUCAUAUACGUGAGCCAAAAGGCGCAAACGGUCCCGGGCCAUGGUAAGGCAACACCCGUGGGAGUACCGUGCGUGAGGCCGCAAAGUGAUAUGAGGUGUUACAGGCUAGAUCGGUGUGACUUGGAAUCGGGGUCCCGACAACUUUGGUAUCAGAGCCUGACUGCCUGUAGGUUUGCGAAGCCAAACUGGUCGAAGUUGAGUCUAGAAAUGCUUUAGUUAUAUAAGGGAAUUGAUUGUGGAAGGGAACGUAAGGUUCUUUUUAAUCCUUUACCUUAUGCCCUUCAGAUCUGAGUCACCCUCUUCUCUUCUGCGGGGAUUAAGAACUAGGCUUCUCAUCUUUCUAUCAGGAUCACGUGUUACUAAUCCGUAGACUCGUAGGAUUGUUGGGUUCAAGCCUCGGUUCAGUUUCUACUACUUCCAUGAGUUGACAGUUCAUCCCAGAACCUUGAUAUGAUGUUGUUAAGUGACUAUGCAAAUCCUUGUGAAUGUCUCAAAUCCUUUCUAAGCAUUUACAGCCGUUAUGCUGUCCGAGUCACCCCAAGUUUCUAAAUAGUCUGAUGCAUUUGCAAAUCCUUUCCGUCCGUUCCCGAUGUUCCUUUGGGCCAGAUUAACCACACUAAUCGUUGAGUUGAGGUACUCUAUUGCCUUGACAUAUAUGUUGGAGUUAUUAUUAUGACCCUAGGUGUCUUAGAGGACCACUUAGUAAUCUAGCAAUGCUUGCAUCCCCAGUGUGAUGAUUCUGGCCAUUAUUCUCGAAAGCAUCCCGUAUGAUGCUAUUUAGUAGUAGGUAUUCUACUCCUGGGUUCUUGAACUCGAGAUUCACCUACUUACUUCAUGUUGAUAGUGUUGCUAGUUCCUUUAAGAUAUUAGUAACCUUUGCUUUAGCCCUCGAGGUCCGUGGUAUAUCGUUCUGCCAAUACCACGAACUGCUUAUGGCAGAAGUUCUCUUGAACCGAAAGAUCACAACCAGAGUGCUCAUGACGAGUUCUCCAUUCACAUUGUGAAUCUGCCAGUCCUUCUCCUUUUGCAUGGAUUAUCCGGAAGAAAUAUGGUGAACUUGUUCGACAUACUAAACCAUGCAUCCACAACUCAGAAAAUCAUAUGUUCCUUUGGGUUGUCCCUCUUUAGUUAUUUCCUGGCCCUCGUCUAUCAAUUGAUAGUCAGGAGUAAUUGUGCAUUUGUGUUAUCGAUGCCUAAUAUUCGUGUGGUCUGUCAAGCCAUUCUAAUCCGGAAUGACUAGGAGAAACAAACUCCAGAACCUCGUCCAUAUCUAGGAUUGGGUCAAAGCAAUUGUAUCCCGCAGACCAAAAUGCCAAUCCAGCUUUUGCUCUGCUCUACCUUGGAGUGUUACCAUCCUUAUGUCAAGAGUGUCAUGAGAAUUGCACCACCUCUUAUGAAUUCUUGACGCAGUGAUACUUCUCGCCAUCAUUAUUCAUUCCUCGGUCCCGUGUUGUCACAACCGGAAUNNNNNNNNNNNNNNNNNNNNNNNNNNNNNNNNNNNNNNNNNNNNNNNNNNNNNNNNNNNNNNNNNNNNNNNNNNNNNNNNNNNNNNNNNNNNNNNNNNNNNNNNNNNNNNNNNNNNNNNNNNNNNNNNNNNNNNNNNNNNNNNNNNNNNNNNNNNNNNNNNNNNNNNNNNNNNNNNNNNNNNNNNNNNNNNNNNNNNNNNNNNNNNNNNNNNNNNNNNNNNNNNNNNNNNNNNNNNNNNNNNNNNNNNNNNNNNNNNNNNNNNNNNNNNNNNNNNNNNNNNNNNNNNNNNNNNNNNNNNNNNNNNNNNNNNNNNNNNNNNNNNNNNNNNNNNNNNNNNNNNNNNNNNNNNNNNNUUGGUAGUUAAUGGCAAUACUCUCAUUCUUAGCGUGCUGGUUAUUGAAUCAUCAUCCUAAGAUUGAUCGUGCUACCUAGUCCUUAUUUCCGGUGCACUUUUCGAUCAAUGAGUUAGGAUAGUGUCAGACCUUGCUUAUUCGGUCAUAUCGUCUUGCCCUGAAAAGCAAGAUCGUUCUCGAGCUUAGUAACAUAUCGGUGGUUCGUGAUGUUCCGAAUAUCUUCUCGGAUGUAUUACCAGGUUGUCACCUGACCGCUAUGUUGAGUUCGUGAUCAUGUUGGUUUUCUUCCAAACCACCCAUUCUCCAAGAAUCUGUGUUGGAUACCCCUGAGCUAGUUGGUCAAGCUAGACAACAACUUGGAGAGUUGGAAGAUAAAAACUUGUCUAACUUAGUUCAUUUCCAAAGGGAUAUCUUGUGUGGUGUGUUGUAGAAAGAUGAUUUCUUCAUCGAUUGGUCCUCGUGAUCAAUUAAUGGACCUAUCAUCUUAACCAAACUUUGAUUUGAGUAUGGGCUAUCAUCAAAUCAAAUCAGAACCAACGAUGUUCGUAAUGUUGUCUUACUCGUGGUCGAUUCCUCGAGCAUACACCAUUACAUUUUUUUGGUCUGACCAAUGCUAUCACCGUGUUCACUUAAUUGUGGAAUUCCAUCUAUAUGGAAGCCUAGAUGGUUUGUUGUUGAGCCCAUCGACAACAUCCUUAUCUCCUCCAUGAUUUGGUUGAACAUCUAAGUUAGCGUUGGAAACUUUUGAAAGCAUCUUCCUCGUGUUAGCUCAUGAAGUUUAUGUUUUGAUGGAAGAAGUGACUUCCUCUAGUUCAUGUGCAUUUGAUGUAAGUUGUCGCUGUGGAUCCGAGAAAGUUUGUUUUGCUUCCUUUGGAAUCAUCCCAAGUCAGUCAUGCAUAUGUGCGAAGUAUUCUGUGGUCUGGAGACUUGCAACCUUCAUUCUAUAUGUAUCCCUAGCACACCAAGCCACUGAUUGACUUGUUCAAGGAGAAGAAGUCUCUUCUUAAGAAUCAUGACUUAUGUUAGGACUUCGAUAUCCUCGUUAAUGGUUCCCAACCAGAACUCGGUAGUGUUUCAUUGUAAGACUACCAUGUGGGCAUGCUUGUUUGGGACAGCGUGUUCACACGUUUGUAGCAGAACCAGCUCAUGUUUUGGAGCUUACUACCGUAGUCCAUCUCCCGAGAAUCUCGCAACGCCAUCUCGUCGGUUUGUGUUGCAAACUUUCCUUUUCCGGACAUGCUGUAUGAAAUAUCCUGUUACCAACCAGAUCUGAAUCUCAGGCAGAUGUGAUGGUUGAACGUUUCCCAAGAACUAUACUAAUGGUCUCUCUGUUACCGGUAAGUGGAUGUCGUGGCCAACACACCCAGCCGGAAGACCUAUUAUUGUAGUAUCUUGAUUGAGAAAGUUGGCCACCUCCCCAUAAGGAUUUCGUAGGAUUUGCUCCCUAGUUGUUCCUUAUGGAUUUUUAUAUUUCCGAAGUCCGACCUUUUACCUGAUGUUCUAGAUAUCAAACCAUAUCUAUGAAUGGGAUAUAUUAGUGCAUCAAGGAGAACAUUAGAAGCGGAGUGCUAUAUGUCUCUCGGUCGAUCAUCCAGAUUUGCUUCUUUGGCAUUGCCAAGGAAAAAUCUGAGAAAGUGAUGUCCUCCUUUGCACCUGCAUCCUCCAUCACUGUUCAUCAUGGUAGUAUGUUGUGCUGCCAGGAUCCUCGACACGGAUAUUGGUAAAACUUGAUGAAUAUGGAAAUGCUCAAGUUCUUGAGAGCACGCGCAAGCAUUAGGUGUCAUCAUCGGCACUAACUGGGAUUGGCCCCAAUUUCCCCGGUUAUGCUAGAACCAUUCAACGGUGGAAUCACUCUCGUUGAGUUAUCCCCAGUUACCAGAAUCAUUCCCAUCAUUUGCAUUUUGUUCCCAGCUUGCAUCUCAGUAAUUACUGUUUAGGAUCAUCUUCAAAGGUGGACUUACCAUGAGUCCCAUUCAUUUCCGAUGAUAAGCAAAAUCAUCCAUGGUGUUGUCAUCAACAAGGUAGUCCACAUCAACCAUUCUAGUCCGAUUAUGCCAUUCUUUAGAAUUCGUUCACACGAUCGUUGUGAUUGCCUUACGCUGGUAUGAAGAGUUUCAAUGAUCUCUGAAUCAAAAGUAAUUCUUUUUGCCACUUAAGGGAAGAAUUCUACGAGUCACCUUUUCCAAGGUGCCCCAUUAUGGAAUCAUGGCAAUUCUUCCUCGCUAUCCUGAAACCUUCGUCAAAUUGUUUCUUCCGUCCCUUCUGAUGCAUGUUUUGCCUCUCAGCUCCAUAGAUAUUUCUAUGUCCCAUUCCGUGAGUUGAUCUUGUGAUCAUUAAGAUGAUCCUAAGUUGCUCGAACCUCAGGAAGAUUGAUUCUUCUAAAAAUUCUCCCUCUCUAUUCGUUGUUAUGUUGGAUGUAGUUCUCAAAGCGAGACGUUGAGAUCAAGGGAUGCAAUGAAUCAACAUCUCCGAGAAGAACAAUUGGAUCGUGAAGAUUAUGUUAGUUUGCGUUCCCCUUUCAUCUUACCCUACGCUUGAAUCUCGGGACGAGAUUUUUGUUUAGUGGGGGUGAGUUGUCACAUCCCUAGUUCUGGUUUGCUCUAGGCUAGCUAGUCAUGUGUGCAUCAUGUUUAAAUUUCAAUGAAUUUGAAAUGGGGACAUGUGAAAGCCUCAGAAAUCAUUUCUGAAAAAGACCAAGAUAAAUAUUGCUUCAAAUAGGUCCAAGAAAAUGUUCAUGUUUCUCUAUGGAAAUAUUGGCCAGAAUUAAAAUUCAAACCAAUAUUUUUAGGAGCUCAUAAAUAUUUGUUUUGGGCAUUUGAAGCUAAUGCAAUAAUUAUUUGCAUUGGAUAUAUAUACAUGUUAUAUAUUUUAUAUAUGUCCAAUAAUUCUGGGUAAAUGUGAGGGGCUCUGGAAUAAUCCAAAUAGUCCCUACAAAAAUUUACCAGAAGCAUAUAAAAUGAUUUAGCGCAGAGACUAAAUCAAAACAGAGUUAAAACAAAUGGGAAAACAGAAACUAAAAUAGAAAGUAAAGAGAGAGAGAGAGAGAGAGAGAGAGGGAGUUACCUGGCCUUUCAGGCGGCCCAGCUGGCUGGCCCAGCCCAGCUUCCCGCCUGUCGUCUUCCUCCUCGUGCCAGUGGGCACGAGGGCGUGUGGCCGCCGCGCGCGCCCACGCGCUUGGCCACCUCCUGCUUGGUUGGCCUCCCCGACCCCUCUGGACGACGCCACGCGCCACCCCGGGCCCUCUCACUCCUCCCUCCAUGCUCAUCCCCUCCCUUGUCUCUCUCCCGCGACAACCGAGCAGAGCUCGUCGCCACCGCUCGCCGUUGCCGCACCCACAGCCUUCCCCGCGCCUCUCCGACGUAACCACGAGCUCCGCCACGACGUCGUCGUCCUCUCCAUCGAGUCACGCGGCGCCAGAAGCCUUGCUGCAUCUCCAACGCCGCCGAUCUCGACCUCGGGCGCCGGUGAUCCCCACCAUCGUUUCGCCGGACCCCGUGCCUCCCCUGCCUCGCCAGCAGCACCAGAAGAACCGCGGUGAGCCGUUGCACCGUUUCCCCCUUGCCUCAUUGCGUGAUUCGCCCCCUAGCCGCAUCAACCACCAGAGUCGACCGCUCCCCGCCGCCGGCCAUGUCGCCGCCGCGGUUGCAACACCCGCACGCCGCACCAGAGCACGUAGGCGUGCUCAGCGCUUCCUCAGGAAUCCGCAGACCCCACCAGUUCGCCUCGAAACGCGCUGUGGCGCCUAACCCGUCGGUGCCCGAGCUCCGGCCGCCGCCGCGAGCUCGCUUCCGGCGAGCUCGGUCCGUCCCAGCCCCUCCCGUCUGCCCUAGCAGAUGCACGCGAACGCCAGCUCGCCGUAGCUCCAAACCGCGCCGCAAAUCACCGCCUGUAGCGCCGUCCCGAGCAACUCCGGCGAUCCUCCGCCGUCAGGUUUGGUCGCCAGCGUCCAACUCCGGUGGUUGGUGACGUGGCACCGUCAUUAGCGCUAACAAACCCCCUAGAGUCACUGACAGUGGGCCCCGCAGCGGGUCAAAGCCAGAGUCAACGCGGGGUUAACCAGAGUUCAACACUGUCUCAAUGACAUGCGGGUCCCACCGUCAGGUUUGACCGUGGUUGACUGCUGACGUCGCUAUGACACACUGCUGACGUCAUAAAUACAUUUGCUGGGAUUUUCUUAUUUAGUAAUAAAUCUGAAAAUUCCAGAAAAUGUUUAAAACUUCAAAAACCCAUAGAAAUUAAUCUAUAACUCCAAAUGAAAUGAUUCAUAUAUGAAAAAUUAUCAGAAAAAUCCAAAGAAUCUGUUUAUGGCAUCCUCAUGCAUGUUUGAACAACUUACAGCCACUAUAUAUGACUAUUUGAAUAAAUGGCAUUUGAAAUGUCUUAUAUGGAGUUUGAAUUUGAACCUAAGGUUCAAACCAACUCCAUUUAAUAUGUGCUAGUUGCAUUAGCUCAAAACACAUUCAUAUUGCCAUGUCAUAGCAUGCAUCAUAUUGUGCAUUGCAUUGAUCGUGUUUCUUCUCUGUUUGCCGGUAUUGUCCCCUCUCAGUAGACGUUGCUUCGACGAUGCGAUCGAUGACACCGAUGAAGAGCUAUACUAUCUUCGGAAGUGUCAGGCAAGCAAAACCCCCUUGUUCAUUCCGAUACAAUCCCACUCUCUCGCUCCUGCUCUCUUUUACUGCAUUAGGACAACAACGAUCUAUCUGUUACUUGCUGCGGUAGCUGAACCCCUUUAUCCUCUGCAUGACCUGUCAUUGCCACAGUAAAUAGAUGAAACCCACUAGCAUGAGUAGGAGUUGUUUGAGCCCUGAUGUGCCUACUCAUUCAUGUUUGUUUGUCAUGCCUGCUAUUGCUUAGAGUUGUGUCAGGUCUGAUUCAUCGGCAAUGAAUUGGAAAGUUGUGAACAUGUCCUACUGUGUGAGAGCUAAGUGUGUGAACACGAUUUGGUAAAGGUAGCGGUGAGAGGCCAUGUAGGAGUACAUGGUGGGUUGUCUCAUUGAAACCGUCCUCAGGAACUGAGUUCUGUGUUUGUGAUCCAUGAACAGUUACUACCACACAUUGGGCUCCGGGCGCUCCAAGCUCUCUAGACUUAUUAAUCAACCUGAUCUCUGUCCAGGAGUUGCAACUAGUUUCUGGUGUUUGUAGGUAGUGUUAGUAGUCUACCAAGUGGCACCCGGUACAGGUGGGCUUGGGACAGACUAGGCACACGUGGCCUGGUGUACCGAGUGGCACCCGGAUGGUGGGCUCGGGAACCCUGCACACAUCGUUUGGGGCCGUGAGCGACACCCCGGCCGGAUCUCCUUGCGGAUGGAACCCGAAUAGGCGAUAAACCUGGACGAGAGACUUGUGUGGUUAGUCAGGUCGUGGCCGACUCCCUCGCCAGGCUUCCGCUUGAAGGUUGCCGAGGUACACGAGGUGUACAUGGUGGUAAGUGGCGAGAGCGUGUGUGACGAAGUACACCCCUGCAGGGUUAAUAUGAUCUAUUCGAAUAGCCGUGUCCGCGGUAAAGGACUUCUGGGUUGCCUGUACAGUUCAUAGACAAGUGGAAGUGGAUACUCUAAAAUGCGCAAGAUAAGCGUGAGUGCUAUGGAUGGCGUUCUCGUAGGGAGACGGGAGCGAAUCCAUAGUGGUGUAUUGAGAUGGCGAAUAUGUGGACUCGUGUGCGCCACCUCAAAAGAGUUACUUGCAGUCAUAGUUUAGGAUAGCCACCGAGUCAAAGCUGGCUUGCUGCAGUCAAACUCCACCACCCCCCUUUGUUGAUACCGAUGCAUAUGUAGCUAGUUCUGAUGUAAGUCUUGCUGGGUACAUUUGUACUCACGUUUGCUUAUUUAUGUUUUUGCAGAAAGACUUCAGUCUCGCUAGUAGUUCCGCGUGGACUUCGACGUUUAGCUUGAUACCUCAGCUACGAUCUUGUGCCCUCAGCAGGAUCUAGUAGAUAGUCAGGCUUCUCAGCCUUUUUCAUUUAUAGUUGUCUGUACUCAGACAUGUUAAGCUUCCGCUUGUGUUUGACUUGUAUGCUCUGAGUGUUGGGUCAUGAGACCCAUGUUUGUAAUAUCUCGCUCUUCGGAGCCUAAUGAAUAAAUACUCUAAGUCGUAGAGUCUUGUUGUGAUGCCAUGUUGUAUUUGCACAUAUCGAGCAUAUUGUGUGUAUGAUUGAAAUGCUUGGUAUGUGUGGGAUCCGACAAUCUAGUUGUCUAUCCUUAGCAGCCUCUCUUAUGGCGAAAUGUAGUCUAGUGCCUCCUUGAGCCAUAGUAGUCCGCUACAGCCCGGUUCACCGGAGUCCUGCUAGCCCAGCACUACUGCUCUGGACACUUGACUGGCCGGCAUGUGUUUCAUAUCGUUCCUGUGUUUGUCCCUUCGGGGAAAUGUCACGCGGUGACAUCCGGAGUCCUGCCUAGCCUGCUACAGCCUGGGUUCCCGGAGUCCUGUUAGCCCAGUGCUACAGCCCGGAUUCGCACGCUGCUGACCGACACGUUCGAUGUUGAUUCAUGUAUGCCUGUCCCCAUACGUUAGCGCCGCUUUGGGUUCACGACUAGCCAUGUCGGCCCGGGUUCUCUGUCAUAUGGAUGCUAGCGACAUUGUCAUAUACGUGAGCCAAAAGGCGCAAACGGUCCCGAGCCAUGGUAAGGCAACACCCGUGGGAGUACCGUGCGUGAGGCCGCAAAGUGAUAUGAGGUGUUACAGGCUAGAUCGGUGUGACUUGGAAUCGGGGUCCCGACAUCUACGAAAGUUUUUAGAUGGGAUGUGGCAUCCUCAUUGGGAGUACCGGAAAAUUGCCCUUUCAUAACAAGAUUCAACAAAGCGGCAUUAAUAUCAUAAGACUCCGCACUAGCGGCAGGAGCAAUCAGAGUACUCUUAUUAGUAUUGGAAAAAUCACACAACUUGGAAUUUUCUUGAGACAUCGUAACCAUGCAAACAAGAUCACACACAAACAAAAGAUCGAAAGAGAAAAAGGCAAACGAAAAAUAUUUAUGUAUUUUUGCAAAAACGUUUUAGAAGUGGGGGAGAUGAAAACGAGAGGUAAAUGGCAAAUAAAGUAAUUGCAAGGAGAUGAGAGUUUGUGCGUAGGAACCUGAUAGAUGUUGAUGAUGUCUCCCCGGCAACGGCGCCAGAAAUUCUUCGUGAUUGCUUGUAUAUGCGUUAGUAAUUCCCCAAAGAGGAAAGGAUGAUGCAGCAAAGCAACGGUAAAUAUUUCCCUCAGUUAUGAAACCAAGGUUAUCAAUCCAGUAGGAGAACCAAGCAACACUAUGUAAACAACACCUGCACACCAACCACAAAAACUUGCAACCCAAAGCGUAAGAAGGGUUGUCAAUCCCUCCUCGGUAUUGAGAUAGAUUAAAUUGUAUGAGAUUGGAUAAAUAGAUCUAGCAAAAACACAAAAUAAAACAAAGAAAGAAAAGGUGCAGCAAGGUAUUUUUGGAUUUUUGGAUUAAUAGAUCUGAAAAUAAUAUGAUAAGAAAUAGACCCGGGGGCUGUAGAUUUCACUAGAGGCUUCUCUCAAGAAAAUAGCAUACGGUGGGUAAACAAAUUACUCUUGGGCAAUUGAUAGAAAAGCAAAUAAUCAUGACGAUAUCCAAGGCAAUGAUCAUGUAUAUAGGCAUCAUGUCCAAGAUUAGUAGACCGACUCUUGCCUGCAUCUACUACUAUUACUCCACACAUCAACCGCUAUCCAGCAUGCAUCUAGUGUAUUAAGUUCAUGGAGAAACGGAGUAAUGCAAUAAGAACGAUGACAUAAUGUAGACAAGAUCUAUUCAUGUAGGAAUAGACCCCAUCUUGUUAUCCUUAAUGGCAACGAUACAUGCAUGUCAUGUCUCCUUCUGUCACUGAGAUUGAGCACCGCAAGAUCGAACCCAUCACAAAGCACCUCUUCCCAUGGCAAGAAAAAUCAAUCUAGUUGGCCAAACCAAACCAAAGUUUCGAAGAAGAAAUACGAGGCUAUAACAAUCAUGCAUAAGAGAGUUCAAGAAAGACAUACAUAAUAUUCUGGAUAGAACUGAUCAUAAACUCACAAUUCAUUGGAUCCCAACAAACACACCGCAAAAAGUCAUUACAUCAAAUAGAUCUCCAAGAACGUCGAGGAGAACAUAGUAUUGAAGAUCCAAAAGAGAGAAGAAGCCAUCUAGCUACUGCCUACGGACCUGUAGGUCUGUGGUGAACUACUCACGCAUCAUCGGAGGGGCAAGGGUGAUGAUGAAGAACCCUUCCGUGAUCGUUGACCCCUCCGGCAGAGUGCCGGAGAAGGCCUCUAGAUUGGAUCUCAUGGUUCUGGAACUUACGGUGGCUGGAAUUUUGUUUCGAUGACUCCCCUAGGGUUUCGGGAAUAUUAGAGUAUUUAUAGAGCUGAGAGGCGGUGGAGGGGGUGCCUAUGGGCCCCACUACCCACCAGGGCGCGCCUGGGAACCCUGGCGCGCCCUGGUGCCUAGUGGGCCUGUGACGCCCCCAAUUCGACCGUACACUAAUCAUACACGUAAAUGUGUACGAUCAAGAUCAGGGACUCACGGGAAGAUAUCACAACACAACUCUAGACACAAAUUGAAAUAAUACAAGCUUCAUAUUACAAGCCAGGGGCCUCGAGGGCUCGAAUACAAGCUUGAUACACAAGCGUCAGCGGAAGCAACAAUAUCUGAGUACAGACAUAAAUUAAACAAGGAUGCCUUAAGAAGGCAAGCACAAAAGAAGCAACGAUCGAAGAGGCAAGGCCUCCUGCCUAGGACCUCCUAACUACUCCUGGUCUUCGGCGGCCUCCAUGUAGUAGUAUUCGUCGGCGGUGGCAUCUGGCUCCAAGGAUCCACCAUCUGGUUGCAACAACCAGAAAGAAGAAAGAAGGGGGGAAAAGGGGGAGAAAAGCAACCGUGAGUACUCAUCCAAAGUACUCGCAAGCAUCAGAUCUAAACUAAGUAUGCAUUGGUAUCAAAUGGAAGGGCUGUAUCUAUGGACUGAACUGUAGAAUGGCAGAAUAGAGGGGAAGGCCUAGCCUAUCAAAGACUAGCAUCUUCAAGCAGCUCCAAGCGUCUUGCAGCAUGUAGAAGAGUACAGAAUAGUAGUUUAUAAUUAACAAGCAUGUUGUAGCAACAAUGCCCAGAGAUCCUUUCUCGACUCCCUGCGAGAAAGCAAUCCCGGAGCCACAUAUCUUAAGUAUCCAUUUCUAGUUGUAUUAGAUCAAGAUAUAAGUCUGAACGUCCAUUACCGUGGACACGGUAUUCGAAUAGAUAACUUCCCUGCAGGGGUGCACCAUGUUUUCCAACACGCUCGAUCACUCUGGCCGGACACACUUUUCUGGGUCAAUGCCCGGCCUCGGAAGAUCAACACGUCGUAGCCCUACCUAGGCUCAGCAGAGAGGUCCCCGCCGGUCUACAUCCUAAGCACUCCGGGGUCUGGGCCCAUUGCCCAUUGCACUCCGGGUCGUUGCGAGCAGGGCAGACCAGGCUCCACCACUACAGGAUGGUGCCGGCCCAGCCGUGCCGCAAGGCUGAACUGGACGUCUGACAAAGCUUCAGCUGAUACUGCGAUGUUGAGGCCCAUAACUGUUCUCGCGUGGUGGUUAGUGCGUAAAGGCCAAAGGCCAACUCAGAACAAAUACCCAAACCAUAGUGUAUUAUUAGCUUGCGGAGACGAGCAGAGACUCACGAUAAUGUGACCCCGUCGCCCCGUCUCGAGGAAAUACGGCAAGGGCAAGCCCAGCCCACCCGAGGGCUGCCUGACUUCCCGGCCAUGCCUCGUAACCAUCUUGCGGGUGCUCUCCAGGCCCACCCGACUUUCACCAAGGUCUCAAGUAAUGUCAAGGUAACCGUGUGUCCAGACAUCAAGGGGAAAACCCGAGGAAUCACCCCCGGUGGAUUCCACUCAAUGUAAUCAUCAAGGUGAACGUAAGAGGGACCACCCUCGAGGUUCACACUUGAGGUGUUGAACGACAGAGCCGUAUCGAAAAUGGUGAAAGAGGAAAUCACCCUCGAUGACCACGACCGAAUAGCUACACUACAGAAUUAUCAUCAGGAGUGCGUUAUGAGGGAUCACCCUCGGCACUCGAUAGUAGCUCUGCAGAGUCGAGCAACAAAAGGGGCGUGAUGUGAUGUGAGGUGUCGGGCUCUGGUCGUCGAUCAUGUAGCUCGAGUCAUUGAUGAUGAAGCAGGGGCAGCAAGGACAAGUGGGGGUCACUGAUGGAUCUCUAACCAACCUAUACUAAGCAGUUUAGGAUAAGCAGGUAAGGUACAACAGCAGGUACAAAAGCAGGCUAUGCAUCAGAAUAGGAGCAAUCAAAUAACAGUAGCAAAAUCUAAUGCGAGCAUGAGAGAAUGGAAUGGGCGAUAUCGGGAUGAUCAAAGGGGGGGUUGCCUGGUUGCUCAGACAGGAAGAAGGGGUCGUCGUCGACGUAGUUGAUCACAACGGCAUCAGCGGCAGUCUCGGGGUCUACCGGAGAGAAGAGGGGGAGAAACAGUAAAUACAUAGCAAGCAAGUGCAUAACAGGACAACAGGCAGAGCUAGACGUGUUCUAACGCGGUGUUACACGCUACCGGCGAAGGGGAUAACAUCCGGAAAGUUUUCCCGGAGUUAGGCAUUUUCGGACAGAUGAAACGGAGGGGAAAGGUUGCGUGUUCACUAUGCUAGGGGUACGUGACAGAUGAACGGACCGCGUAUUCAGAUACGUCUCGUCGUUCUGAGGAACUUCCAUGUAGAAAGUAUUUUCAUCCGAGUUACAGUUAUUUUUCUAUGAAUUAUUAAAGUUUUUAGCAAUUCCUGAAAUUAUUAUUAAAUCUAAAAAAAGGUUAUUGCAUCAGCAUGACGUCAUCAUGACAUCAGCAGUCAACAGAGUUGACCAAAGUCAACCCUGACGUGUGGGGCCGUUCUGCCAUAGACUAACAACUAAUUAACAGUUUUAAAUAACUAAUCAAGUUAAUUAGGUACUAAACAGAGUUAAUCUAGUUAAUUAAGUACCUAUUUAAUUAUUUAAUUAAUUAAUUAACUAAUUAGUUAAUAAUUUUAAAAUACAUUUUGUUUUCCCUUUUUUUUAAAAAGGGGGGUUGGGCCCCACGGUCAGUGGCCCAUAGCCUUAGCAGGGCGGGCACGGGCACGCGGGUGCGGGCGUUCGUGCCCGAGACCACAACCAGGCGCGGCAGGGAGAAGGCCCCUGGGGCACGGCGGGGCGUUGGCCAGAGCGGCGCCGGGCGCGGGCCAACGCCCCGCCGCGGGGUGAGGUCGCCGGCGACGGGGAAGCCGGCGAGCGCGUGCGGGGGAGGCAGACGACGCGGGGGCGAGGUGCGAGCGGGCGCGGCCUCGUGCGAGCGUGCGGGACGCGUAGGCGCUGCGAGCAGGGGCUGCCGGGGUGAGGUGAGGGUGGUCGAGCGCGGUCAGCAGUUGCGGAGGACGCGUGCGUGUCGUGACAGCAAGCGAGGCGAGGCAUGUACGGGCAGAGGCGGCCUCGGCGGCGCGGCACACGGGAAGGCAGGGGGAGGCCGGUGCGCGCAGGCGAUGAUGGAGAUGGGCGCGGUGACCGCGGAGGAUCGGGGACGGCACGGGUGCGUUCGAUCUACAGGGGAGAGGAGAACGGCGGCUCACCCCCGUUUGCAGGGGAUCGUGGGCCGGCGAGGCUCGACGACGACCGUCGAAGGAGAGGCGGGGUGGGGCGGUCCGGCGAGGGCAGCUCCGAGCGGCGGCAAUCCUGUGACGGGGUCCGGCGCGUCGAGGCGGCGGGCCACGGCGGCGGCGGGAUGGAGUAGGCGGCGGGGCGCCGGAGACGGUGCGGUGUCGGGGUCGAUGACGGGGCGAGGUGGCGCCGGCGAUCCAGCGACGGUACAGAACGGCGGGGCAAAAGGGUCGGGCUCGCUGCCCCGAUCCAGUCGAGGGAGGGGAGAGAGGCGUGAUGGAUCGAGGGGAGUGGGGAGAAACGUGGGGGAAUGGGGUUGGUUAUCGCUAGGGUUUGGGUCGGGGUGGCCUUGUAGCAGGCCAGAGAGGGGAAGGCUGGGCUGGCCGGUUGGCUACCUAGGCCAGUUGGCCCAGCGUGGGGGGUGUCUCUUUUCCCUUUUCACUUUCUUUUAUUUUUCUUUUUAAUUUGUUUCUGUUUUCAAUUUAGUAACCAUUUUCUAUUUAACUGUAAGCUAAAUGAGUUUUGUUAGUUAUGAGACUUGUCACAUAACUCAAGCACAUUAUUUCUAGGAGUCACAAAAAUUUCGAGGCCAAAAGGAAUUGCCUAACCAUUUUUUAAAACUGAAAAGGCCAAUUUAAUUGUUGCUGGACCAAAAAUUAAUUCCCAGUGGCAUUUUGGGAAGUCAAAAGAGGUUGGUUCCAACAUGACAAAUAUCCAGGGAUUAUUUUCCACCCUUUGAACAUUUUAGUUUGCAUGUUUGAGAAGUUUGAAUUUUGGACUUUAGUUUGAACUUGAAUUUGGAUUGCGAUUUGGAUCAACUGAGGAUUAGCAACAGUAAGAGUGGUGACGUGGCACCAUUAACUUGGGAUUACUGUAGCUUAGUUAUCCGGGCAUCACAGGGCCCCACAGGGCCCCUCUAGUGCACAUCUUGGGCCUGCUAGGUGUAUUCUGGGCAGAAACAUUCUCCAAAAGGUUUUGCUGCAUUUGGACUUCGUUUGAUAUGGAUAUUCUGUGAAGUAAAAAACAAGCAAAAAAUAGCAACUGGCACUUGGCACUAUGUCAAUAGGUUAGUCCCAAAAAAUGAUAUAAAGCUGCUAGUAAAUGAAUAUAAAACAUCCAAUAAUGAUACUUUAAAAGCAUGGAACAAUCAAAAAGUUAUAGAUACGUUGGAGACGUAUCAAUAACCUAUACAGCCAUUUACUCAGCAGGCAUUUGUUUGUAAUCUCAGGUUCUCAAUCCCAAGUCCUCCCUGGUCUUUGGGUCUGCAAAUAGUAUCCCAUCUUGCCAAGCGGUAUUUUGCCUUGACUUCAUAUGAUUGCCAGAAAAAACGAGAUCGAUAGAAAUCUAAUCUCUUCUAUACCCCUUUAGGUACUUCAAAGAAAGAUAACAUGAAUAUCGACAUACUAGUUAGUACUGAAUUGAUCAGCACUAGCCGACCUCCAUAGGACAUAAGCUUACCUUCCAGCAGCUUAGUUUUUUUUCUUCUCAAAUCGAUAUUUGAUGCAUUUCCAUUCUUUAUUUGAUAAUUUAUGAUGGUGAAUCAGAAUUCCUAGAUAACUGAAAGGCAAGGAACCCAUUUCACAACGAACAAUUGUCUAUGUGUCUUGCUCCUCUUUGGCUCUACCAAAGCAAAACAAUUCGCUCUUGUGAAAAAGCUCCGACAAUUGUUCAAAAAGAGAAAGCACUAGUUUCAUAUUCCUAGCCUUUGCAAGAUCAUGUUCCAAGAAGAUGAUAGUUUCGUGGGCGUAUUGUAGGAUAGAACCCCCCCCCCCCAUCGACCAGAUGAGGAACGAGUCCACCUACCUGGCUGUUCUCCUUGGCCCUACCUAUAAGCACGACCAACAUAUCAGCCACUAUGUUGAAUAAGAUAGGAGACAUCGGAUCUCCUUGUCUUAAGCCCUUGUGACUCUAGAAAUAAUGACCAUGUCAUCAUUCACCUUAAUCCCAACACUGCCUUUUUGGAUAAAGGAGUCCACCUGUUUCCUCCAGGUUUCAUAAACCCCUUCAGGCUCAUGGCCUGCUGGAGGAAUGGCCAUUUGACCUUAUCAUACGCCUUCUCAAAAUCCACCUUUAUGAUACCCCAUCUAGUUUCUUCGAAUGGAUUUCAUGUACAGUUUCAUGUAAGACGACAACCCCUUCUAGGAUAUGUCUCCCAGUCAUGAAGGCAGUCUGACUCGGUUGCACCACCGAAUGGGAAUCCGUGCAAUCUAUUUGUGCCAACUUUCAUGAAAAUUUUGAAACUCACAUUGAAAAGACAGAUAGGCCUGAACUGCUCAAUACGAACUGCUUCCUCUUUCUUUGGCAACAAUGUUAUCGUACCAAAGUUGAGAUGGAAGAGUUGUAGGUGGCCAUUGAAGAAGUCAUUGAACAUGGGCAUAACGUCACCCUUUAUGAUAUGCCAACAUUUCUUAUAGAAUUCCCCAGGGAACCCAUCUGGUCCAGGUGCCUUAUGCUUCAUUUGUGAUAUCGCGUCGAAAACCUCUUUCUCAAUAAAUGGUGCAGAUAAAAUAUCAUUUUCAUCUGACCUAAGCUGAGGGAUAUUCCCAACUGCUAGCUCAUCAAGGGACACAUCAUUGUCCACAGGAGGCCCAAAGAGCUGUUUAUAGUAAUUCGGAAUGUAUAACUUGAAGUUCUCAUGUCCAACCACCGUCCCUUCAUCCUGCUUGAGUUGGAUGAUUUUUUUCCUAUGUUUGCCAUUUGCAAUCAUGUGAAACAAUUGAGUAUUUUCAUCCCCUUGGACAACUUUGAGAACCUUAGCACGCAAGGCCCAUUCCAUUUCUUCUUCUCUAAGAAGAACGCGAAGUUUCUGCCCGGCCUUAGACUUUGCGGCCUGCUCGGUCAUGUUAAGCAGGUUAGACUCUGCUUUCAGAUCUAAUGCUUCAAUCAAUUGGAUGAGUCUUUCUUUUUAUUGUUUAUAUAUCCCGCUUUCACUUCUCGCCCAACCCCUUAAAAAAUGUCGUAGGUGUCUAAUCUUGUUUUGCCAUCUUUCUACAUUGGAGUGCCCACCAACAGGCGUGGCCCAUUCCCUUGCAACUAUGUCUAAGAAAUUCUCUUUUUUGAACUAGCUUAAUUCGAAAGAUAAAAUAUUCUUGUUACCUAUAUGAGUGGCUUCUCCCGAGUCAACCAACAAGGGUGUGUGAUCUGAGAUUGCACGCUGCAUCGCAUGCACCGAUACAAGUGGGAAUUUCUGUUCCCAUUCCACACUAGUAAGAACUCUAUCCAACAUCUCAUAAGUCGGAAUAGGUAACGAAUACGCCCAUGUGAACUGUGUACCCUUGAGGUCAAUCUCCCUCAGAUUGAGACUCUCAAUAAUCGCAUUGAACAUGAAUGACCAUCGUCCAUCAAAAUUGUCAUUAUUAUUUUCUUCUCUUCUUCUAAUAAUGUUAAAGUCUCCUCCAACUAAGACCCGCAACCUUUCAUCCCCGCAGAUCCUAACCAGAUCAGCCAGGAAUUCAGGCUUAAAUUCAGGUUGGGCUGCUCCGUACACAGCCACCAAAGCCCACUGGGAUCCAUCCGGUUUUGACCUCACCUGCAACUUAACUGCGAAAUCACCUUGAACCACCUUCAUUACCUCUAAUGUUUCGCACAUAACCCCCCAAUAAGAUCCCACCGGAUUGUCCCCUAGGGAGCAGGCAGUGCCAGUCAAAAUCUAUUCCACCAGAUAAGGUUCCUAGGAACUGCGAGAUGAAAUUAUCUCUUUCUAUUUCAAUGAGGGCAAUAAAAUCGAUUUUAUGAUCAAUUCACGCUUCUGCAAGGAACCUUUGUUUAGCCAAGUCUGCUAGACCUCUGCUAUUCCAAAAAAUCCUUUCGUUUUUUUGAAAUUCAUUAGUCAUCAUGAAUUUUUUUUCUUGAAUUUGACUCUCACACUUCUACGAACUGCUAAUGUCCUAUAAACCUUCCUCUUCCAGGAACGUUUUGGUUUAUCCGCCACUCCCUCCGCGUCCAUGUGACUGGAGGCAGCUUGUGUAGUGCAUUCUAGCGGUAUAGGGUCUACAUGUCCCUCAGACUCUGUUCCCUCUAACUCAAGUUCGGCCUCCAAAGUGGGUAGGAGGUCGUCGUAAAAACUCUCUAGAACUAAAAGCCCUAUUUUAUUAUAUCGGCCUCAUUCAUAGGCCUCACAGCCGCGAUAUUUCGAAUUAUCUCAGACGCUCUCUCAGCUUCCAAGUCUAAUAAAUCGUUAACAGAUUUUGCAAUUUCCUUCCCAUUGGACCCGAGGGAUACUCCUAAGUUGGUUGCAUUACUUGUGAUCUCAUGUUCUGAAAAAUGCAAAAUGGAACAACUCGUAUUAAUAGACAUACAUGUAGUUGCCUCGAUGUCACGAAGCUUGGCUGCCCUCAUAGCACGCCCUAAUAUGGGUCGUCGCAUCAGGUUGGGCCUGAAUCCGGUUACUGACAUACCUGUCAGCAGACACCGGUUCAUAAUCCCACUGAAAGCAAUGACCUCCGUAGUCCUGUCCCUCGGGGCCUGGUCCUGAUGACCCACAAGUAUAGGGGAUCUAUCGUAGUCCUUUCGAUAAGUAAGAGUGAUGAACCCAACGAGGAGCAGAAGGAAAUGACAAGCAGUUUUCAGCAGGGUAUUUUCUGCAAGCAUUUAAUUUAUCGGUAAAAGAUAGUUUUGUGAUAAAAUAAUUCGUAACGGGUAACAAGUAACAAGUGUAACAAAGGUGCAGAAAGGUGGCCAAUCCUUUUUGUAGAAGAGGAUAAGCCUGGACGAAGUCUUAUAUAAAGCAAAGAGCUCCCAAGGACACAUCGGAAUUACUGGCAAGUUAGUUUUCAUCAUGCUCAUAUGAUUUGUGUUCGUUACUUUGAUAAUUUGAUAUGUGGGUGGACCGGUGCUUAGGUGAUGUCCUUACUUGGACAAGCCUCCCACUUAUGAUUAAACCCUCUCUCAAGCAUCCACAACUACGAAAGAAGAAUUAAGAUAAAUCUAACCCUAACAUGAAACAUGUGGAUCCAAAUCAACCACUUACGAAGCAACGCAUAAACUAGGGUUUAAGCUUCUAUCACUCUAGCAACCCAUCAUCUACUUAUUACUUCCCAAUGCCUCCCCCUAGGCCCAAAUCAUGGUGAAGUGUCAUGUAGUCGACGUUCACAUAACACCACUAGAGGAAAGACAACAUACAUCUCAUCAAAAUAUCGAACGAAUACCAAAUUCACAUGAUUACUUAUAACAAGACUUCUCACAUGUCCUCAGGAACAAAAGUAACCACUCACAAUGCAUGUUCAUGUUCAAGAUCAGAGGGGUAUUGAAUAUCAUUCAGGAUCUGAACAUAUGUUCUUCCACCAAAUAAACCAACUAGCAUCAGCUACAAGGAGUAAUCAACACUACUAGCAACCCACAGGUACCAAUCUGGGGUUUGGAGGCAAAGAGUGAAUACAAGAUAUGAACUAGGGUUUGAGAGGAGAUGGUGCUGGUGAAUAUGUUGAUGAAGAUUGACCCCCUCUCGAUGAGAGGAUCAUUGGUGCUGAUGAUGGCUUCGAUUACCCCCUCCGGGAGGGAAGUUUCCCCGGCAGAAUAGCUCCGCUGGAGCCCUAGAUUGCUCCUGCCCAGGUUCCGCCUCGAGACGGCGGCGCUUCAUCCCGAAAGCUCUCUCUCUAUUUUUUUCUAGGUCAAAAUGCUUCAUAUAGCAGAAGAUGGGCACUGGAGACCUGCCAGGGGGCCCACAAGCCCUGGGGGCGCGCCCUGGGAGGUAGGGCGUGCCCCCAAGCUUAUCGCCACCUGGUGGGUCCCCUCCGGUAGUUUCUUCGCCCAAUAAUUUUUAUAUAUUCCGAAACAAUUCUCCAUAAAUUUUCAGGACUUUUGGAGUUGUGCGGAAUAGGUCUCUCAGAUUUGCUACUUUCCAGUCCAGAAUUCCAGCUGCUGGCAUUCUCCCUCUUCAUGUAAAUCUUGUAAAUUAAGAUAGAAAAGGGAUAAGUAUUGUACCACAAUGUGUAAUAAUAGCCCAUAAUGCAAUAAAUAUCAACAUAAAAGCAUGAUGCAAAAUGGAUGUAUCAACUCCCCCAAGCUUAGACCUCACUUGUCCUCAAGCGAAAGCCGAAAUCGAUAAUCAUGACCACAUGUUUAGAGAUAGAGGUGUCGAUCAAAUAAAAUAUGGACAUGAGGGCACAUGAUCAUCUUUAGAACAACAACAUAUAUUGUCAUAUAAUUUCUUAUGUUAAAGUAACAAUUUGUUCACAAGGUAAAGUAUGAAUCAAAAACUUUAUUGAAAACCAACAAACUAUGAUCUUGGUCAUUGGGACAAUUGCAAUUUAUCAUAACAUCGGAAAGAGUAAAUGUAAGAGCUUUUAUUUAGCAAGUUCACAUACUCAACCAUCAUUUAAUAUUUCGUAAUUGCUAACACUCACAUGAUACUUAUGAGAUCAAAGUUUCAAUCAAACACAUAGGAAGAUAGGGGCUUAUAGUUUCGCCCCCCCCCCAACCAUUUACCUCAAGGGUAUUGUCAACGAUAAUAGUUUAUGAACACCUACAUCUGAUUGGAUAUAUAUCUGGAUCUUCCCCAACAUAUAGUGCUUGCCAAAAACAAAAGGUAUAAAAAGGAGGGGUGAAGAUCACCAUGACUCUUGUAUAAAGGUAGAAGGUAAAAGUAAAAGAUAGGCCCUUCGCAGAGGGUAGCAAAGGUUGUCAUGCACUUUCAUGGUUGGAUGCACAAAAUCUUAAUGCAAAAGAACGUCAUUUUAUAUUGCCGCUUGUGAUAAAGAACUUUAUUAUGCAGUCCGUCGCUUUUAUUUCUUACAUAUCACAAGUUCGUAUAAAGCUUAUUUUCCUCACACUAAAAGAUCAUACAUAUUUAGAGAGCAAUUGUUAUUGCUUGGACCGAUGACAACUUACUUGAAGGAUCUUACUCAAUCCAUAGGUAGGUAUGGUGGACUAUCAUGGCAAAACUAGGUUAAGGGAUUUUGGAUGCACAAGUAGUAUCUCUACUUGGUGCAGAAAAUUUGGCUAGCAUAGGAUGAGAAGCAAACUCAACAUGUUGGAGGAUCCAUGACAAUAUACUUCUAUUCGGAUAUAAGGAAACAUAACCCAUUAUGUUGUCUUCCUUGUCCAACAUCAACCUUUUAACAUAUAAUAUUUUAAUGAGUGCUCACAAUCACAAAAGAUGUCCAAUAUAGUAUAUUUGUAUGUGAGACCUCUCUUUCUUUAUUACAUCCUAUUAAUUGCAUAAAUGACCAAAACUAUGUUUGUCAACUCCCAACAAAUUUUAUACGACAUACUUCUUAUAUGUGAAGUCAUCACUCUCCAUAAGAUCAUUAUAUAAUAUUUUUACUUCUUUUAUUCUUUUUCUUUUCUUUUCUAAGAUCAAACCAAGAAAACAAAGCCCUCAACUCAAAACUACUCUUUAUUAUAUAAUUGUCAGACUCGAUUACAUAGAGGGAACACAAAGUAAAACUCAAAACUAGAUUAUACUAAAGAAAAACUUUAUUCUACUAAACCAAGAUAUAACCAAAAGGAUCAAACUAAGAAAAAUAAUAAAGGUAAAGAUGUGGUGGUGAUAUGAUACCGGGGCACCUCUCCCAAGCUUGGCACAAGCCAAGGGGAGUGCCCAUGCCCAUGUACUCAUGUCUCCUUCUUCAGAGGUGGUGAUGAUAAGGUUUCUGUCAGCCUCAUUAAGCUACCCUUCAUGUCCUAAAAUUCUUGGAGUACACGUUGGAGAAUAUUUGCAUUCUUCUGAAUUUCCUCUAAAAGAUGCUUAUUUUCAGGCCACCAAGAGCUUUUCCAUGCAUCACUUUCACUUGGACGGGAUAUAUCCCAAUUGGAGGGUAUAUGUGCAUGAGGAGUAUUCUCCACUCCAUAGUUAUGAACCAAAUUAUGAAAGUUGUUCCGAUGUAACUUGUGUAAGGGCCUCCUAGGGGAAAGCCCUUCUCGUAUCUGUUGGCCUUCAUGGUUGCUUGUAUUCCCUAUUUCUUGAUGCGGAUUUGGAACAUUAGAGAUGCAAGCUAGAGUGCCUCUUUCCGAAGCCGAAGGCUGAACCUCAAGCGAAUCUCCUUCAUCCUCCUCCAUCAUGACUCCCUAGGCAUCCUCCCUCCUGAGUUCCAUCUGCAUCAACCAAGCAUCGUCUUCCACAUUGUUGGAGGAGGAGGAAGACAUGAUGCCUGGCCUUGAAAACUCUAGCAGAAAACAGCUCGAAACAAGAACAGAGGACAUUGCCAUGGUACGAUGGUCAAAACCUUCGGGAGGUUAUAUAAUGAAUUUUUACCGUGCAAAACAAGUAAUCUGGGAGAAAACAGAGUCCUGAGGGCACACGAGGUGGCCACAAGCCCAGGAGGCGCGCCAAGGGGGGCAGGGCGCCCCACGGCUUAUCGCCUCCUCGUGCGCUAUUCGGACUACUUAUUUUCCUAAUUUUUUAAAUAUUCCAAAAUGGAGUAAAAUUGCCAUUGGAAAACUUUUGCAGUCGGUUUACUUACCGUAUCACAUACCUAUUCCUUUGCGGGGGUCUAGAACGUUCUGGUAAGUUUCCCUUAUGUACUCCUCCGGUGUUAUGGUAUGGAUAAUAUUGGUUUCAACAUUUACGGGAGUACUUGAGAUAUAAUGUUUGAUUCGUUGGCCAUUUACCACCUUCGGGUUGGUACCCUCGGCAUUGUUGAUCUUGGUGGCAGCGGAACAAUAAACUUCCUCGAUAAUGUAAGGCCCUUCCCAUUUAGAGAGAACCUUUCCUGCAAAAAAUCUUAAAUGAGAGUUGUAUAGCAAGACAUGGUCACCUACAUUGAAUUCAUGCUUUUGUAUCCUUCUGUCAUGCCAUCUUUUCACUUUUUCUUUAAACAACUUGGCAUGGUUCUCCAUUCAUCAAGUGAGCUAAUGUCAAAUAGCCUCUUCUCACCGGCAAGUUUGAAAUCAUAGUUGAUCUCUUUAAUUGCCCAAUAAGUUUUAUGUUCUAAUUCUAGAGGUAAGUGACAUGAUUUUCCGUAAACCAUUUUAUAUGGAGACAUACCCAUAGGAUUCUUAUAAGCAGUUAUAUAAGCCCAUAAUGCGUCAUCAAGUUUCUUAGACGAAUUCUUCCUAGAUCUAUUAACAAUCUUUUGCAAGAUCAAUUUUAUUUCUCUAUUACUCAAUUCUACUUGACCACUAGACUGAGGGUGAUAAGGAGAUGCAAUUCUAUGGUUAACAUCAUACUUAGCAAGCAAUUUAUGGAAGGCACCAUGAAUAAAGUGUGAACCACCAUCAGUCAUUAAAUAUCUAGGGACUCCAAACCUUGGAAAAAUAACUUCUUUAAGCAUUUUAAUGGAGGUGUUAUGAUCAGCACUACUAGUUGAAAUAGCUUCUACCCACUUAGUAACAUAAUCAACAGCAACCAAAAUAUGUGUAUACCCAUUGGAGGAAGGAAAAGGUCCCAUAUAAUCAAAUCCCCAAACAUCAAAUGUUUCAAUAACAAGUGAAUAAUUCAUAGGUAUUUCCUGCCGUCUACUAAUAUGACCAAUCCUUUGACAUUCAUCACAAGACAAGACAAACUUACGAGCAUCUUUGAAGAGAGUAGGCCAAUAAAAACCAGAUUAUAAUACCUUGUGUGCAGUUCUGUCUCCAUCAUGGUGUCCUCCGUAAGACUCAGAGUGACACUUGCAUAGGAUUUGUUCCUGUUCAUGCUCAGGUACACAACGUCUCAUAACACCAUCUACUCCUUCUUUAUAAAGGUGUGGAUCAUCCCAGAAGUAAUGUCUUAAAUCAUAGAAAAUUUUUUUCUUUUGUUGGUAUGUGAAACUAGGUGGUAUAAAUUUAGCAACAUUAUAAUUAGCAUAGUCUGCAUACCAUGGAAUACUAUGAGAAGCAUUUAUGAUAGCUAAUUGCUCAUCAGGAAAGCUAUCAUCAGUAGGUAGUGGGUCAUCAAGAAUAUUUCUAACCAAGACAAGUUGUCUGCUACGGGGUUUUCAACCCCUUUCCUAUCAGUAAUAUGUAAAUCAAAUUCUUGUAGCAAGAGAACCCACCUAAUAAGUCUAGGUUUAGCAUCUUUCUUUUCCAUAAGAUAUUUAAUAGCAGCAUGAUCGAUGUGAACAGUUACCUUAGAAUAAACAAUAUAAGAUCUGAACUUGUCACAAGCAAAUACAACUGCUAAAAAUUAUUUUUCAGUAGUAGCAUAAUUUCUUUGAGCACUGUCUUGAGUUUUACUAGUAUAAUGGAUAACAUUUAAUUUCUUAUCAACUCUUUGCCCUAGAACAGCACCAACAUCAUAACCACUAGCAUCACACAUAAUUUCAAAGUGUAGGUUCCAUUCAGGUGGUUGAACAAUAGGUGUAGAAAUUAAGACUUUCUUAAGUAUUUCAAAGGCUUCUAAACAAUCAUCAUCAAAAACGAAUGGAACAUAUUUUGUAAAAGAUUAGUGAGAGGCCUAGAAAGUUUAGAGAAGUCUUUAAUAAAUCUCCUAUAAAAACCAGCAUGACCAAGGAAACUUCUUAUACCUUUGAUAUCUUGAGGACACGGCAUCUUUUAAAUUGCAUCAAUUUUAGCUUUAUCAACUUCAAUACCUCUUUCGGAGUUUUUAUGCCCCAAGACAAUACCUUCAUUAACCAUAAAGUGGCACUUCUCCCAAUUCAAGACAAGAUUAGUUUCUUCGCAUCUCUGCAAAACUUGAUCAAGGUUGCUUAAGCAAUCAUCAAAAGAAGCCCGUAAACGGAGAAAUCAUCCAUGAAAACCUCAACAAUUUUUUCACAAAAGUCAGAGAAUAUAGUCGUCAUAUGAUGUCUACUACGCAACCUUCUUCUUGUAGACUUGUGUUGGGCCUCCAAGCGCAGAGUUUUGUUGGACAGUAGCAAAUUUCCCUCAAGUGGAUGACCUAAGGUUUAUCAAUCCGUGGGAGGCGUAGGAUGAAGAUGGUCUCUCUCAAACAACCCUGCAACCAAAUAACAAAGAGUCUCUUGUGUCCCCAACACACCCAAUACAAUGGUAAAUUGUAUAGGUGCACUAGUUUGGCGAAGAGAUGGUGAUACAAGUGUAAUAUGGAUGGUAGAAAUAUAUUUUUAUAAUCUGAAUAAAUAAAAACAGCGUGGUAACAAGUGAUAAAAGUGAGCAAAACGGUAUUGCAAUGCUUGGAAACAAGGCCUAGGGUUCAUACUUUCACUAGUGCAAGUUCUCUCAACAAUGAUAACAUCAUUGGAUCAUAUAACAAUCCCUCAACAUGCAACAAAGAAUCAAUCCAAAGUCCCUAGUGCAGAGAAGAUAAGAUUAAAUUGCUUCUAGGGUACGAAACCACCUCAAAGUUAUUCUUUCUGAUCAAUCUAUUGGGCUAUUCCUAUAAGUGUCACAAACAACCCUAGAGUUCGUACUAAAAUAACACCACAUGACACACAUCAAUCAACCCUAAUGUCACCUAGAUACUCCAAUGUCACCACAAGUAUCCGUGGGUCAAUUAUACGAUAUGCAUCACACAAUCUUAGAUUCAUAAUAUUCAAUUCAACACAAAAAACUUCAAGAGUAUCCCAAGAUUUCUAUCGGAAAAAGGAAUAUGAAAAUGCGUAUCAACCCCUAUGCAUAGAUUACCCCAAUGUCACCACGGGAAUCCGCAAGUUGAUAACCAAAACAUACAUCAAGUGGAUCAAUAGAACAUCCCAUUGUCACCACGGAUAUCCCAUCGCAAGACAUAAAUCAAGUGCUCUCACAUCCAAAGAUUCAAUCCGACAUAACAAAACCUCAAAGGAAAAGAUUUAAUUCAUCACAAGGUAGAGAGGGAAGAACACCAUAAGAUCCAGCUAUAAUAACAAAGCUCGCAGUACAUCAAGAUCGUGCCAAAUCAAGAACACGAGAGAGAGAGAGAGAGAUCAAACACAUAGCUACUGGUACAUACCCUCAGCCCCGAGGGUGAACUACUCCCUCCUCAUCAUGGAGACUGCCGGGAUGAUGAAGAUGGCCUCCGGUGAUGAUUCCCCCUCCGGCAGGGUGCCGAAACGGGCUUAGAUUGGUUUUUCGAGGACUCGGGGGCUUGCAGCGGCAGAACUCCCGAUCUAAGUUUCUUUCUGGGGGUUUCGUGAUUUAUAGGAAUUUUUGGCAUCGGAAACAAGUCAGGGGGGUCCACGAGGCAGCGGCAAGCCAGGGGCGCGCCCUAGGGGGGCGCCCUCCACCCUUGUCGCUUCCUCAUGAAGCUUUUGGUCCAACUCUUGUGCUUCGGGGGCUUCUUCUGGUCCAUAAAAAAUCACUGUACAGUUUUAGCUCGUUUGGACUCCGUUUGAUAUUACUUUUCUGUAAAACUCAAAAACAAGGAAAAACAGAAACUGGCACUGGGCUCUAGGUUAAUAGGUUAGUCCCAAAAGUAAUAUAAAAUAGCAUAUCAAUACAUAUAAAACAUCCAAAACAGAUAAUAUAAUAGCAUGGAACAAUAAAAAAUUAUAGAUACAUUGGAGACGUAUCAACAUACAUCUUUGAAAAGUAGCGGGUGCAUUGCAUAAACCAAAAGGCAUACGUCUAUAAGCAAAGGUACCAAAAGGGCAUGUAAAAGUAGUUUUUUCUUGAUCCUCUUGUGACACAAGUAUUUGAGAAAAACCAGAAUAACCAUUUAGAAAGCAAAAGUGUGCAUGUUUUGAAAGUCUUUCUAGCAUUUGAUCAAUGAAAGGUAGAGGAUAAUGAUCUUUCCUAGUUGCUUUGUUUAAUUUUCUAAAAUCAAUUAACAUUCUAUAACCUAUAACAAUUCUUUGUGGAAUCAAUUCAUUUUUAUAAUUAGGAACAAUAGUAAUACCUCCCUUCUUAGGGACACAGUGAACAGGACUUACCCAUCUACUAUCAGCAAUAGGAUAAAUUGUUCCAGAAGUUUUAAUAUUUCAUUCCUUAAUUACCACUUCUUUCAUCUUUGGAUUUAACCGUCGUUGGUGAUCAACAACUGGUUUAGCAUCAGGUUCAUUUUGUGCUGACAUAGAGUGGAACUAAUGCCCUUAAGAUCAUCCAGAGUAUAUCCAAUAGCGGCACGGUGCUUCUUCAGAGUUUUCAAUAAUUUCUUUUCUUCAUGCUCUGAAAGGUUAGCACUUAUAAUAACAAGAUAUAUCUUCUUUUCAUCUAAAUAAGCAUAUUUCAAGGUAUCAGGCAAUUGUUUAAGAUCGAACACAGGAUCACUCUUGGGUGUUAGAGGAUCUCCCAGAGUCUCAACAUGCAAAUUGUGUUUCAAAACACGCAUUUGUUUAAAGAAUAUUUCAUCUAUUUCGUUCCUUUCAUUCAUAAACAUAUCAUUUUCAUGGCCUAGCAAAUAUUGUUCUAAAGGAUCAGUAGGAGGCACGUCAAUAUAAGCAAGACCACUAAUUUCAUCUUUACUAGGCAAUUCUUUAUCAUGGGGUUGUCUACAAAAUUUGGAGAAAUGAAACGCAUGAGACACAUCCCCGAAACUUACACUAACAGUUUCUUUCUCACAAUCUAUCUUAGCAUUAACAAUGUUGAAGAAAGGUCUACCAAAUAUAAUGGAACAAAAAUUAUAUUGUGGGGAACCAAGAAUUAGAAAUUCAGUGGGAUAUUUUAUUUUCCCACACAAGACUUCAACAUCUCUAACAAUCCCAAUUGGUGAGAUAGUAUCUCUAUUAGCAAGCUUAAUAGUAACAUCAAUAUCUUCUAUUUCAACAGGUGCGAUAUCAUACAUAAUCUCUUGAUAUAAAGUAAAGGGAAUUGCACUCACACAGUCACACUAGCACCCAAAUCACAUAAACCAUGAUAACAAUGAUCUCCUAUCUUAACAGAGACAACAUGGAUGACAAAAAUAGGUCUAUGUUUAUCUUUUUUGUUAGGUUUAGCAAUUCUAGCAGCUUCAUCACAGAAAUAAUAACAUGCCCAUCAAUAUUAUUGACCAGGAGAUCUUUAACCAUAGCGAUACUAGGUUCAACUUUAAUUUGUUCAGGGGGUGUAGGUGCUCUAUUAUAACUCUUACGGACUACAUCUGAAGCUUUAGCAUGUUCUUUUAUCCUAACAGGAAAAGGUGGUUUCUCAAUAUAAGCAGUAGGAAUUACAGGAUCAACAUUAUAAGUAAUGGUUUCUUCUUCAGCUUUAAUAGGUUCUACUAUUUUUACUUCAAUGGGAGGAUUAUAUUUAAACCACUUCUCCUUAGGGAGAUCAACAUGAGUAGCAAAUGAUUCACAGAAAGAAGCUACUAUCUCAGAGUCAAGUCCAUAUUUAGUGCUAAAUUCACGAAAAGCAUCAGUAUCCAUGAAAGAUUUAACACAAUCAAACUUAAGGUUUAUACCUGACUCCUUACCUUCAUCAAUCUCCCAAUCUUCAUAGUUGCGUUUAAUUCUUUCCAAGAGAUCCCAUUCGAAUUCAAUAGUCUUCUUCAUAAAAGAGCCAGUACAAGAAGUAUCGAGUAUGGAUUGAUCAUUACGAGAAAGCCGAGCACAAAAAUUCUGAAUAAUAAUUUCUCUUGAGAGCUCAUGAUUGGGGCAUGAAUAUAACAUUGAAUUAAGCCUCCCCCAAGCAUGAGCGAUACUUUCUCCUUCACAAGGCCAAAAAUUAUAUAUAUAUAAUUCCGAUCAGGAUGAACCAGAUGCAUAGGAUAAAACUUCUGAUGAAAUUCCAAUUUCAAUCAGUUGUAAUUCCAUGAUCCAAUAUCAUCACAUAGCCUAUACCAUGUCAAUGCCUUUCCCUUCAAAGAUAAGGGGAAGACCUUCUUCUUGACUCCAUCCUCGGGCAAACCUGCAAGCUUAAAUAAUCCACAAACUUCAUCCACAUAGAUUAGAUGCAUAUCAGGAUGUAGUGUUCCAUCUCCUGCAUAAGGAUUAGCUAGCAGUUUCUCUAUCAUACCCGAAGGAAUUUCAUAAUAAAUAUUUUCAGUAGGUGCAGUAGGUUGAGGAGCAACUUCUUGUUCUUCCGGUGGAGGUGAAGAUACCCCGAACAAACCUCUCAAAUGAUGAUUUUCCAUAGUGAAAAGUGACAGUAAAUUUCAGCACGUAAUAUAAAAUUUUCCUUACCAAAUUCCACUCACCAAAGGCGCUUCACUCCCUGGCAACAGUGCCAGAAAAGAGUAUUGAUGACCCAAAAGUAUAGGGGAUCUAUCGUAGUUCUUUCGAUAAGUAAGAGUAUCGAACCCAACAAGGAGCAAAAGGAAAUGACAAGCGGUUUUCAGCAAGGUAUUUUCUGCAAGCACUGAAUUUAUCGAUAACAGAUAGUUUUGUGAUAAGAUAAUUCGUAACAGGUAACAAGUAACAAGGGUAACAAAGGUGUAGAAAGGUGGCCCAAUCCUUUUUGUAGCAAAGGAUAAGCCUGGAUGAACUCUUAUAUAAAGCAAAGAGCCCCCGAGGACACAUGGGAAUUACUGUCAAGUUAGUUUUCAUCAUGCUCAUAUGGUUCACGUUCGUUACUUUGAUAAUUUGAUAUGUGGGUGGACUGGUACUUGGGUGCUGUCCUUACUUGGACAAGCCUCCAACUUAUGAUUAACCCCUCUCGCAAGCAUCCGCAACUACGAGAGAAGAAUUAAGAUAAAUCUAACCAUAACAUGAAACAUGUGGAUCCAAAUCAGCCCCUUACGAAGCAAUGCAUAAACUAGGGUUUACGCUUCUGUCACUCUAGCAACCCAUCAUCUACUUAUUACUUCUCAAUGCCUUCCCAUAGGCCCAAAUCAUGGUGAAGUGUCAUGUAGUCGACGUUCAUAUAACACCACUAGAGGAAAGACAACAUGCAUCUCAUCAAAAUAUCAAACGAAUACCAAAUUCAUAACAAGACUUCUCCCAUGUCCUCAUGAACAAAAGUAACUACUCACAAUGCAUGUUCAUGUUCAAGAUCAGAGGGGUAUUGAAUAGCAUUAAAGAUCUGAACAUAUGAUCUUCCACCAAAUAAACCAAUUAGCAUCGACUACAAGGAGUAAUCAACACUACUAGCAACCCACAUGUACCAAUCUAAGGUUUGGAGGCAAAGAUUGAAUACAAGAGAUGAAUUAGGGUUUGAGAGGAGAUGGUGCUGGUGAAGAUGUUGAUGAAGAUUGAUCCCCUCUCGAUGAGAGGAUCGUUGGUGAUGACGAUGGCUUCGAUUUCCCCCUCCGGGAGGAAAGUUUCCCCGGCAGAACAGCUCCGCAGGAGCCCUAGAUUGCUUCUGCCUAGGUUCUGCCUCGAGACGGUGGCACUUCGUCCCGAAAGCUCUCUCUCUCUCUCUCUCUCUCUCUCUCUAUUUUUUCUAGGUCAAAACGCUUUAUAUAGCAGAAGAUGGGCACCGGAGACCUACCAGGGGGCCCACAAGCCCUGGGGGCGCGCCCCCAGGCUUGUGGCCACCUGGUGAGUCCCCUCUGGUAGUUUCUUCGCCCAAUAAUUUUUAUAUAUUCCAAAAUAAUUCUCCGUAAAUUUUCAGGACUUUUGGAGUUGUGCAGAAUAGUUCUCUCAGAUUUGCUCCUUUCCGGUCCAGAAUUCCAGCUGCCGGCAUUCUCCCUCUUCAUGUAAAUCUUGUAAAUUAAGAGAGAAAAGGCAUAAAUAUUAUACCAUAAUGUGUAAUAGCAGCCCAUAAUGCAAUAAAUAUCAACAUAAAAGCAUAAUGCAAAAUGGACGUAUCAGGUCCCUUGACGUGCACCCGUCGGGUCCAACAAGUGCCGACGUGGGAAGUGAGGGCGGCAAGACUCCUCCUGUCGGCACGUCCGUCCUCUCCUCCGGCGCUGCAACCAAGCGCACAUCAGCAUGUGUCGGUGAAGGCGGAACCUGCCUAGGCUCCGAACGGCGAAGAGAGAGGGGGGGGGUCAAGGGCCUCCUGCCCGCAACUCCCCCUUCCCUCGACACUGGAGAGGCGUCGGGCAGACUCAACUGGCCUCUCGGAGACCUCCGGUCUCGAGCCCUCUGCCGCUCAGCAGCCGUCUCCAAGACCUCCUGUCUCGGGGCGCCGUCUGUCGCUGUCGUAGCGGGCACCAUCAACAUGGCGCCGGUCCCAAAUAUCUCCUGUCUCGGGGCGCCGUCCGUCACAGGCAGACAAGCCUCAGUCGGUACCGGCGGCAACACUCGCUCCGACGGAUCAUCUAGCUCUAUCCUGUUGCUCCAUAGGGCAUUAUUGAAUAAUAUAAUAAUAUGGUUGUGUGCAUCGCUUGAUGCAGAGAUCGGGGUUCAAUCUCUUUUAAAAAAAACUAUAUGUGGUGUGACACUGUGACAUGCAUCACUCAUUUUCUCUGUAGCCGCCUUGCUCGCGGCCCCAUCCCCCUUGUGUGAGGAGGACUUGUUCUGCCGCUUCCUCGCCGUGGCCACCCGGGCCGCCGACGUCUAGCCCUCGCGGUGCUCUCCCUCUCGCGGAAUCUUCAACACGCCCUCUACCUGCCUGCGGUGCGGUUCUUAUCCCCUUACUAGCCUUUUAUCUGUAUUGCUCCAUUGGAGAGGUUCGCCACUUCUCUGGAAUUUGAUUCCGUGCUUUGGUUGUAGCAUCUAAGAGCGACAGAGUUUGCUCCUGCCUCAUUUUGAAGUACAUCUUAGGAGGUUCUGUUUUGCCCGUAGAGGAGGGAUGUCUUGAAUUUUUACCCGGAUGGAUUCAAGAAGCCAUUCUGAAUUUUUACUUUUGCGGUUCCUAAUCACAGGGCUCGUCAGUCGAUUCGCUAAUGGCCCUGGAUCUUGGAAAAUGCCCUUUCAUUUAUAUGUAUGAAGUAGGUGGUAGCACGUGAGUGGCCAGACACAACAGAACAGAAAAGUAACGAAUUUUAAGAUAUGCUCGCUUAGAAACGAUUGGCCGUGUCUUAAACUGUUUGCAUUAUUGAUAUGUUCAAAAGGUGUGACAGUGACAACGAGUCGGGAAAGGGAGUCCAUGAUUGAUUUCAUUAGUACCUUGGUAUAUAUUCUUGAUUAGUAUUGCAGAUCUAAGUGCACUCAAGAAAGGGAUAGAAAUGGCAAUCUUGUUCUGGUCGAGCAUGUAUUCUUUAUCAUCCAAUUCACUGCAGAUUGUCGGGUAGUUAUUCUGUCAGUUGUGUUGAACCUGGUUGCCAAGCUGCCUCCUUAGUCUCCCAUAGAGUUUUAGUCCACUUGACUUCUGUACUCUGAAUCGUCUCAAUCAUGCUCAAAUUUUCUUGUUGACACAUGCUGAACUUGGCUGCCAAGCUAAUGCCCUCUGUUUCCUCUCGAUUUCCUGUUGGAAUUUGGCUAUAUAAUAUUGGUGAAAUCCAUUGGUAUCUUCUUCCACGUUCGUGUUAAAUAUCCCUUCAUUUCACUUGUGAACACCUACCUUGUUCAGAAGUAGAGUGUGAAGUUCCAAGCAUGCUGCCAAACAUGGAGGAGCCCCUUGUUGGGGGCAGGAGUGAGAAGACAGGAGGGCCAGGAGAGAGCCUCCUAGUGAUUGAGGUCAAGAAGCAGUUGUACCUUGCCGGGCCUCUAAUCGUCGGAAGCCUCCUGCAGAACGUCGUCCAGAUGAUAUCAGUCAUGUUUGUGGGUCAUCUCGGUGAGCUCGAUCUCUCGAGUGCCUCCAUCGCCACCUCCUUCGCCGGUGUCACCGGCUUCAGCUUGUUGGUAUAUAUAUUGUGUCAAUUUCAUCUCUUACAUAUGUUGGACCUUCUGAACAACUAACAUCAGCUGGCUUUGUUCAUGAUGAUUUGAGGCCGGCAUGUCGAGCAGCUUGGACACACUGUGUGGGCAAGCCUUCGGAGCAAAGCAGUACCAUCUUCUUGGCAUCUACAAGCAGAGGGCAAUCCUUGUGCUCACUCCUCUGAGCGUCGUGGUUGCUGUGAUAUGGGCAUACACUGGCCAGAUCCUCCUCUUCUUCGGCCAGGACCCUGAGAUUGCCAUGGGAGCAGGGAGCUACAUCCGUUGGAUGAUCCCGGCGCUGUUCGUCUACGGCCCGCUACAGUGCCAUGUCCGGUUCCUACAAACGCAGAACAUCGUCCACCCGGUGAUGCUGAGCUCAGGUGUCACCGCACUGAACCAUAUCUUGGUGUGCUGGUUGCUGGUUUACAAGCUUGGCCUGGGCAACAAGGGUGCUGCCUUGGCCAAUACAAUCUCUUACCUGACCAAUCUGCUCAUCCUGGCUCUCUACAUCAGGCUCUCUCCAUCCUGUAAGAGGACUUGGACAGGGUUGUCAAUGGAGGCGUUUCGCGACAUCCUUAGCUUUUUGAGGCUUGCCGUUCCAUCUGCUCUCAUGGUUUGGUAAGUUUGAAUUGAUCCCUCUAAUUGCAGGUAGAAUUUUUCAUCAUCCAUCUCCAACUGAACUUCAUCCUACAUUUAUUUUACACAGUUUGGAGUGGUGGUCAUUUGAGCUGCUUGUACUUUUUUCUGGAUUUCUUCCAAAUCCUAAGCUCGAGGCGUCGGUGUUGUCCAUCAGGUGAGGUAUCAUAUGCAUGGUUUAUUUCACAUCCGGUUCGCCUUCGCCUUCUUCUGAUAGUAACAGCUGAACUUGCUGCAGUUUAAAUACUCUUUCACUAGUAUUCAGAAUCCCAUCUGGGCUUGGUGCAGCUAUAAGGUCAGACUGAACAACUCGAAUUCAUAAACAUGAUAGUUUGAUCAUAUAGUACUUCAAUGAUACUAUCUAUCUUACCAUACGAAAACUUAAUACUCAUUAUCUCUCGCCUCUGUAGCACCCGAGUAUCAAACGAGCUUGGCGCUGGGCGGCCUGAGGCUGCCCGUUUAGCGACCCAUGUGAUCAUGGCUCUGGGUCUUGUGUCGAGCGUAUCGGUCGGUCUUGCUAUCAUUUUGGUGCGCAAUUUAUGGGGGUACGCGUACAGCAACGAAAAGGAAGUGGUGGAAUACAUUGCCAGAAUGAUGCCAAUUCUUGCCAUGACAUUCUUGUUUGAUGACCUGCAGUGUGUCCUUUCAGGUAAGUGCAGUGUAGGUGCUUAAGAGAAAAUAAAUUUGGAAAUUAUAAGGAGCCUGCGUAUAGGUAUAGGAUGAACAAUAUCUGUGAUCGGCGUUUUUCAGGUAUCGUUAGGGGCUGUGGCUUCCAGAAGAUUGGCGCGUAUGUCAAUCUCAGCGCGUACUACCUUGUCGGCAUCCCCGCGGCUUUAUAUUUUGCUUUUGUGUACCAUCUUGGUGGAAUGGUACUUAUUUUACUUGUGUCAUUAUACAAAAAGCUCUAAGUUGACCUAUAUUCCUUAUUUGACUUGAGGAAACCUCUGAAAAAUGUCGUUAUGAACUGUUAGGGGCUGUGGUUCGGAUUAACCUGCGGGCUUGUCGUGCAGACAGUGUUGCUCCUGUCCAUCACCCUGCGAACCAACUGGGACAAAGAAGUAAGCGCGCGGUCAUAUUGUUUUGUGAGUUUUGUUUUGUUGGCUUCUUGGUGAUCUUACUGCAUUGUUGCUUUGGUAGGCUUUGAAGGCAAAGGACAGGGUUUUCAGUUCUUCCCUGCCUGUAGACUUGGCAACAUGAGACACACAAGACAAGAUGCACAAUUUUCUGGGGAAAUUAGCCAGGGAGAUGUGCAUGGAGAUAAGGAACCAAUGAGGAAUUGGUUGCUAAAAUGGUGCUUCACUGGCAUGUGCAAUUCUUCACAGAAACAUCUGGAAAUAGGCGAUCCGCUUUGGUAAAAACAAUUCGGAUGCGGAAAAUAAAAUGUUAGGAUGAGUAGAGGCGCAGUACUUCCCUUGACAAUGUAAGUAAGGGAAUAAAAUGUUUCUUCACUAUUCUCUUCACGGAAAGAAUAUAUAUAUAGUUGCUCAAUUGCAUGGAAAGGAGGUUCCUCGUCAGCAUUGCAUAUGCUUGGUUUUUGUGCUUGGUAAUGCAUUUCUGAGGGAUGAGGACGCUAGUGAUUAUGAUUGAGGGCCACUACGUAUCUAGAAAAGGCUAAAAGUAAUGUUCGCCAGGACAAAUAAAACAAGGAGGCGACGUUAAGGCUUUGCAGAAAUGUGCUUCAUGGGCAAACGGCGGUGACAAAAGUGUUUAUCAUCUUGGCUGGAUGAUUUUGAGCUUUCGUGAUCGUGGUAGCGUGGCCCCGCCUAAGUCGGCAAAACUUGGUGUUGGUGCGGUGGUGCCGGCCAUGUAUUGGACGGAGAACGCUCCUGGUCCGUUGUGUUCCUGAUCUAGUGCUAAUGGCAUCGCUGCGCACUAUGGUUAAUGGGGAGAAGACUAGAAUAGAAAACACAGGGUGUGCAAAAAUGAGAUGCCUGUCCCUUAAAGUCUGCCACAUUGGUCCAGCAGGCGGAAAUGAUGCUAUCAAGACAGCUCAACGUGAACAAAAUUGUACUCCGUCCCAAAAUAAUUGUGACCCUUUUGAUAUCGGGUACAUAUGUUCUAUUUAGUACUACUUUCUCCAUCCCAUAUUAUUAGAGUGUUUUUAGGGAGUAGUAAUUUAUUGAACACUUUACGGUGUUUUAGUUGUUUUUGUUAGAGAUAUAUUUAGUAGUAGAGAUUGCCCGGAUUUAUAUAGAGUUAUUUCCAUCUUAUUUGCCCUCCAAGUAUUAUAUUUAAUUUAUACCCGCCCUCGAGGCUUAAUAACACAUACAUCAUAUUCCGUAACAAUCUUUCUCUCCCUUCUAACAUGGUAUCAACAUAGCCGCCGCCGUUUCCGCACCCGCGCGCCGCCCCCGGGGCGGUCGGCCUCCAUGACCGCCGUCGGGGGCCGCGCCGCCCGUACCUAGGGUUCGUCCGCCGGUCAUGUUGACCGGCUGCCCUAAAGAGUCUUUUUCCCGAUCUCUUGAUCCGGGUUUUCUCUCUCCCACCGGUCACCUUGAUCGGCGUUUUCUUUUUCGUUUUCCGAUCUAUACUUGAUCGGUUUGUGUCGCCCAUCGUCGCCGUUGACCUUUGUGCGCCUCUACUCCAACUUUGGCGUUGACUCUGUUGGCCUGUUCAACGACACGACGGGCCUCGUGCGACUCCGCGGCGGACUGUAAAGGUCGUUGUCCGCGCAUCCCCGAGAUCUUCCCACCGUCGCCCCGACCCACCUGCCGCCGCUGCGUCGCUCCUUCGGGCCGUAGCGCCGCGGCCACGGUCCACUUCGCCGUCUCCACGCGUCGACUUUCUAUGGUAUGCGCCGCGCCGCCUCCCUUGGCGCGGGAACGCCACCGUCCGCGCUGGUCUUUGUCACGCUGUCGGGUUCCUCGCCUACUUCGAGCACCGCCGCCGCGCUCCUAACCUAGCCGUCAGGCCGCCGCCGCCGCUACACCCGUAGCCUCCGCCCGUCCACCCCCUUCGUCUUCGUCCAGCACCAGCCCGUCGCCAGCGUCGCCGCCAUCUACCCCGACCACUUCGUCUACUCCGACCACCGUUGGUGACAUCGGCCCCCAUGCCGACUAGCGCCACAACCGCCGUAGAGUCUUCUUCUCUGUUGGCCCUCCGACUUCUCGACAUGGCGUACAUCUCGUGCAGGUCCCUCGUCUCCGCAUGCCCGGUGUUGGCAACACCGAUGCGUGCCUUCAUCCACGACGUGUCCCCGGGCCUGGCAAAUCCUGGUCGGUGCUUCGUUAAUUUCGUCUUCGUCCGUCUACGCAUGCCCGGUGCUGGCAACACCGACGCGUGCCUUCGUCUACGACGUGUCCCCGGGCUUGGCAAACCCUACGCGACCAGUCGUCAACACCGUCUUCUUCCCGGCGCAUCACUACUUCGACACCACUCGCCUAUGACUAACACGGUGCCUCCUUGCACCCGCGGCUCCACGGCGACUACCUCGACACCGGCUACCUCGACUUGACAUCGACCACGGCGUUCUUCGCACGGCUACCUCAACCACGGCUGCACCACCCUACGCUCUCGGCUACCUCGACAUCGGCACAAAGGGUUAUCAUCCGCUUGAGCAACUCGUCGGCUUCCUCUAUAGUCAACGCGUCCGCAACGCGACACCGUCCGCGACGCUCCCGCUACGACUGCGGGGGAUGUCAGCCGUCGGCUGCUAUUCUCUCCAGUCUGACCGUCCCCGACGCUCUUGUUGUUCGCAACGCUACCGCUACGACUGCAGGGGGAUGUUAGAGAUAUAUUUGAUAGUAGAGAUUGCCCGGGAUUAGAUAGAGUUAUUUCCAUCUUAUCUCUAGGAGGUGUCUUGCCCUCCAAGUCUUGUACUCAGUAUAUACCCGCCCUCGAGGCCCAAUAAUACAUACAUCACAUUCCGCAACAAUCCCUCUCUCUCCCUUCUGACAGUUUUCUCUACUUUGCUUUCUUUGCGGAAAAACUUCUAUCUAUUCAUCUUCAAUCAUGGCGGUACAACGAACACCGGAGAUAAUAAAAAUUACAUCUAGAUUCAUAGACCACCUAAGGCACGCCGCCGUCAUGGCCCCUUCCUCGUCAGAGCCAAACAAAACAUGUUGUAGUAGACGGUCAAUAAGUCAUGCUAAGACUCCAUAGGACCAGCACACUAGAACAACAACCGUCGCUGAUGAAGAGUAGCGUAGAACGGAAGGAUCCAACCUGAAGACACACGAACGUAGACGAACGACGAAUAUAACCGAGCAGAUUCACCAAAGAUAGAUCCGCCAGAAACACAUCUCCACGCGCCCAUCGACAGUGCUAGACGCACCACACGAAUGGGGGCUAGGCGGGGAGAACCUUAUUCCAUCUUCAGGGAGCCGCCGCCGUCUUGCCUUCCUGGGCAGGACACAAAACCUAAUAAUACUGAGAGUAAAAUCUAAAAACGAAGCCCUCCCACCGGCAAGCACCUCCAUGGCCCUAAGACUACCGGAGACGGGGCGGACAGGCGGCGGCACCAGCAGGAUGCGGCGGCUACAGUUGUUUUCUCUACUAUCUUUACGCUAAUGUGAAAGGCACAUUCUACACGAAAGUGUUGUUGUGAUCCCGAGCAGCAGUGCUCUCGGUAUCUAUACCACCAGUUUCUCUCGUGAUGAGCGCCACAGGAGGUAUAGGUACAGUUAUAACUUAUCUAUUCGAUUUUUUAUUAUGGCCCAUGGCCCACUACCUAGAUGCUAUCUCUUUUACCCCGUCAGCUAUCCUUAGCACGGAUCAAAUGGAGAUAGACUAUACGAGCCGUCCCAUCGUGGAUUCUGGACUAACGCCGCUAGUGAGCUCCUUUAUGACAUCCGCUCAUGGGAGCUACCAAUCUCCCCCAACACUGCUCCUCCUGUUCGUAGACUUGUGGAUCCCCCACAGAUUGGCCUUCCAAUCAAUUUGAGCUGGUACCACCACUCCAAUUCGUUCCCAACCAUGUCUGCAUCGUCUCCUGUGGUGCGCCACAAUUAAGUUAUCAAUUCCAAAUUCAUCUGCAAAGCAGGUUAUUCAUGGGUCCCUUUUCAAAGCAAAUACCUGCUGAAGUACGCAUUGCUGCAGCCGAGCUCUCUCCUCUAGCUGCAACUGUGGUUGCAUAACAACGUCAUCAGCCACGGCAUCAACAUGCAUGCAGACGAUUUAAAGAAAAACAUGCAUGCAGAUAAUGUGUUAAUUUUCAUUAGGUGUAGGUGACUCACUUGUAAUUCCUGGGAAGACAAUUCACUGCUGCUUCCACGCACGGUCAUGCCCACUGGCAUCGUUGCCCCCCUUAGCACGCUUGGUGGUUGGUUUGCCGAACCAACCGCAGCAACAUGGGAUGAAGCAUUCUGUCAUCGAAAUCUCGUAGUUUGUUUGCAGAUGUCAACAUUAUCUCCAUCUUCAGCUGAGCUCCCUGAGGAUGAUGAGUGCCUGCUUGAUGGUGUACGCCGUAUUCUCUGGCGACACUUCCUGCUGCCCCUAUUUGCAUAUCUCUUUUGACGCACAUCUAAUUCUGAUGCCUCCUAACAGCUUCUGUUGUGGAUGUGUUCAGUGGCAGCAUGUCAUCCGCCCUAGCUGCAUUGCCUGCGAGCCAUCAACGUUAGUUAGCAUGGUAUCAUCUAAAGUGUACAGAAUGACUAAACAGAAUUAAGUAAUAGUGGCACCUCUUGCUUCACCAGACUGAACUGGUUCUGAUGUGCUCCUAAAACCCUGUGGUGGUGAUGACCCAACACAUGCCAGGCCUACAAAACAGAAUUUGGAAUUGCCGUGUAAUCAGGCACAAUGAACUAUCUCACAAAAUGGUACGCGCAAAAUUCACUGAGUCAGAUGCAAACUCCAGAAAAAUGGACACAAAUUGCCAUAACGCACAGCCACACACUAUCUCUUGCAUGUGUUUUGUUCGAUUAACGUUUAGCCUGCUCUUUCCAUAUAUAAUGCCGAAUCCUUUCUCCCAUGAAUACAGAUUGUUAAAAUCAUAGGCUUCACCGAGUCUAUCAAAGCUUGUUCCUAAUUUCGGCACGAUUAUCCUCGGCAAAUCCCAGGACUGAUUUCUCCAUUGCCGAAAUCCUAUUAGGGCAUGGGGCUCUGCGUAGCUUAGCAGCACCAAUCCGCACUCUGAAAGUUCAUGGCAAUAUGUGCACAGAAUGAGUUCCUUCAGAGUAAGAUCAACCACAAGUACAGCAGACUAACUUCCUUCAGAGAAGAUAUGAUAAUUUCCGAACUAAUUUUUUAAGUUAUACAUCAUCAUAACAUGACAAGUGUGAAUAAUCUCUACCAAGGAAACCCAACCUAUUAAAUUCAGUAAUCUAGCAUAGAUAGUAAUAUUCUGCCUUAUUUUUUCCUGCCCAAAGCUCAUUUUCGACGGAUUUUUUGCUUGUAAAUCAUUGACAAUUUAGGUAAUGGAUCCUAAUUAGUACAGCGCUAUAUAAGUACAGUUUUGCUUAAAUCCAAGGGCUAGCCCGGUGCCUAAUCACUAAAGAAUUUUCUUUCAACCCCAAUACCUUCGCAUCCACCCCAGGAGCCUUCGGGUCAAUCUGCUCUAUGGAGUGCUCGGAUGCUUCGCCCCUGUCUCCACUCGCGGCCUCUGGAGCGGCUUCCACCGCAUAGAUCUGAGCGUCUGCACUUGACACGGCCCUUGCCGGUAGCAAAAAUCUUAUGAGGGCAGCGCAUUCACACUGGCAAGAACGAGUAUUUUCAACUAUUGGCUUCCCCUGACCACAUACACAAUAAGGCAUAUUCAGUUAAGUUCAUGGAAAAAAAUUCUCAUAGCUAACUACUAAUCACUUUUAAAAUGCUCUAAUUUUUGUCGUACCGCACAUCCACAGACUAUCUCUUGCAUGCACUUCGUCCGGUUCACAUUUAGCCUGCUCUUUCCAUAUCUAAUGCCAAAUCCUUUCUCCCACAAAUAUACAUUGUAAAGAUCUUAGGCCUCACCAAGUGUGUCGAAACUUGUUCAUAUCUUUGGCACAAUGACAAUGUCUUCCGGUUCCCCUGCAAAUUGCCGGACGGACUUCUCCAGGGCUGUAACCCUGUCCGGGCAAGGAGCUCUGCCUAGAGCGGCAGCACGGACAUGCACUCUGUAAGUCAUUGCAAAUUAUAUGCAAAGAAUCAAUCAGCUAUUCUUUCAGUUUCAACCAUUGUGUGAACUACUGUGGCUUACAGACUGAGAAUGCAUCAUGUUUGCAUCGCAGAUUAGGGAAAUCUAUUUCUUCUCUGCAGUGUACUGUUUAUUUUUCUCACAAAAUUAACUUGCACCACAACAUUCUCCCCUCGUCAAUCACUAUUACUGGAUAUGCACUAAUCGCUCUUUGCAUACAAAUAAGUUAACCAUCUGAAAUGAACCUAGCGAAUUCUGUUUUAUUUGAUAGCUAGGACACCCCUGAUUUUUUAAACGCACAAUGAACAUUCCUUUAGUUGCAAUCUUCAUACCUUUGUGUCCACCCCAGGGUUUUUGCAUCCACUUGCUCUAUGGAGUGCUCUGAACCUUGAGCCUUAUAUGCACUUGCAGGCUCUGCAGUGGCGCCGUCACGACAGAUUUGGCCAUCUGCACUUGAAGCCGCCGGUGCUGGCAGGUCAACCUCCGCCGGCGCAAUGACCGGAAUCGUACAGGCUCCAUGGUGAUGCUGUUAUCGUUAACCUCCUCUAGCAGUGUUCUAGUUCACCCACACAAUUUUUGCGGCUGACAGAAUCAGAGUCAGCGCAGAAAACCGGAUCCAAACCAUGCAAAAGGGAGGUUCAACGAGCAGAUUCGAACCUGUUUAUCGGCUGCAUCAAGACUCCAUGGCCGUCGGAGCACCUGCAAACUCGCUGGACCGCACAAUCCCCUUUUGCCGCAGGAGAUUUCCCCACUACUUCGCCGCCUGGGAAGAAUGCAAGAUCCACUUCACAGCCUCCCCCCCCCCAGCGGCCCACUUUCUGCAUUUACUACGUGGACUGCCGACGCUACCGAAAAGCACCGGACCUGAUCCACGGAUCAGGACGGCGGCGACGUCUCAAGCCACGGCUCGGGCUCGCUCCGUUCACGCCGUGCAAACGUCCGUGCAAGCCAGGGCCCAUCAGUCAGGUGAGUAUAGCGGCGUAUAUCAGAUUUUUUCCCGUCCCAUGUGGACCCGCGGCCUGCCACCUUCAUUCAAUUCGCCGAAUCACGAAGCUGUUCUGGACGGAUGUGAUACGGAGCUCCUCUGAGCUCGUGAUCACAUACUCCACGUCCCAUUCUACACUAGUUUCUGUGGCAUUUUUUUCUACUGUUUUUGCACUAAUGUAUACUCACUUUUUUAAUAUUGCAUUUUACAUGAGUUGGUAUAUAUUUUUUCACUAGUUUCUGAUGCAUUUUUUACCACAUUUUGCAUUGUGUGUAUUGCACCUUUUCUCUCUACUAUUAUAUUCAUGCAUUUUUGCGCUAGUUUCUAUUAUGUCUUUACAUUAAUAUGCACGGCAUCUUUUGAAGUUUAUUCUGUUUUUACACUAGUUUCUCAUGCGUCUUUUGACGUAGUGUAAUGCAUUUUGGCAAAGACUGUACCAUGUUUUUUGUUCAUUAUUAGACGGCUAGUCAAACAAAGAAAAUAUACCCAUAAGAAAAAGAAAGAAAGAAGAAACUAAUCAUAGUAUAUGUAAGAAAGUGGUCCCACUAACUUAUUUAUCUCAAUAUACAAGCCUGCCACCUCAUCAUACAAUUAUGAAUGAAAUAAGGCUCACCUCAACAUGCAACCAUGCAUAAAAAAAGACCCAGCACAACAUUUGACCAUGCAUAUAAAAAUGUUUUUCACUUAACUAUUCUACUUAUAUUUAAUAAAUAUUUUGUAACUCUACAUAAUCAAAUAUAACAAGGCAUAUGUUAUUAACCCAAAAUUUCAUCAGCUGGUUUCCGCAGCAACGUAUGGGGUAUUCUCUAGUAACAACAACUAGUAGCACUCCCUGCUUAUUUUAAGAGGAUGGUUACCAUGUAAUAAUAUAGCAAACGUACAUCAAGGAGUUACUCCCAAUAAUAAAAUUUCUCAUAGAGUAUCUCCAACUACCCUGGUGCUCAGUCCCAUAAAAUUAUUAUUUGGCAAACAUACGAAAACACCUCUUCGAUUGAAUUCCCGUCAUCGUCAUUAUUCGCACUUUUUGUGGCAACCUCCUAAGAAAUUGCAANNNNNNNNNNNNNNNNNNNNNNNNNNNNNNNNNNNNNNNNNNNNNNNNNNNNNNNNNNNNNNNNNNNNNNNNNNNNNNNNNNNNNNNNNNNNNNNNNNNNNNNNNNNNNNNNNNNNNNNNNNNNNNNNNNNNNNNNNNNNNNNNNNNNNNNNNNNNNNNNNNNNNNNNNNNNNNNNNNNNNNNNNNNNNNNNNNNNNNNNNNNNNNNNNNNNAAAACAUUUUUUGCAUGAUAUCAAUAAAAAUGUAGAAGAUAGAACAAGGAGAGUGGAGAAUGGGAUUUGCUAAUGCAUGAAGAAAUAUGUGGAUAUGGAAUCUUUUGGGAGAGGCUCUCCAUAUAAAUAAAUGGAGAGUGAGAUAUGGGUUCGCUUGGAGAUGCUCUUAGCAAGCCACGAGUGAGUACUCUCUCCUGUCAGGUUCACUUGGAGAUGCUCUUAGCAAACCACGAGUGAAUACUUUCUUGUAGGGUUACAUAAACUAACACAAUAUAUUAACAUAAAAUACAUAUCCAAUAGACAUUUGUGCAAUCUAUGUGUGGUCUUUGCUUCUCAUUCGGUCUUAUGAAAUUAAUCACAAAAGUGACCUCCUCUUUUCUCAGUUAUUGUUCUGUUCAUGCAUGCAUAACAAUGCAAAAGGAUGAUAUCAACAAAGAUUUCAACGAAUUCAAUAUUCAAAAUAUUUUAUGUUUGAAUAGUUUACCUGAUCCAUUACUCAUUUCACCACCCCAUUCAUCUCAACAACGCUUUAAAACUAGAUCUGAUUGUGUUAUAUAGCUUUUUGUCUAGACUUAUCAGUUAGCGCAUGAUAAUAUAUGUUGGUGCAUAAUCACUUUUAUGUUUCACAUAGGUUGCUAGAUAGUUUGGUACUUCCUCCAUUCCAUAAUUCUUGUUGUGGUUUUAGUUCAAACUAAUUCCACAACAAGAAUUAUGGAAUGCAUGGAGUAUAUUAUUUAAUAGCACAUUGCAUACUCUAUUUCUGAAAUAUUAAAAGCUCAUCCAGGUAAGUUGAAACAUAAUGUGUUGUUGCCAUAUUUCCUAAUGUCUUCAGAAAGAUUGAAACCAAGAGUCUUGCUUCAGUACGCCACCCCCUCCCCCCGCCCCUCUAGAAAAGUUUACAGGUUUUAAUGCAGGCUAAAGAUGGAGAUUAGAAGAUACCCUUUCAAUCAACAAUAUUAGAUUGUUCUGAUCUCUUGUUUGAUGCAUAGCGAAAGUAGGGAUUAGAAUUAGGUGAACCUAAAUAUCCGAGCAUACCCUUUUUAAUUAACUUUAAUAUUCGUGCAAACUUUUAAGGGAGGUGUCAAAUCAAAACUAUGAAACCAAAUGUUUGAAAGUUAAAUAUGAAGCACAAAUGUAGUGUAAGAAACAGUCGCAAUGGGACAAUAAGUAAUUGCAUAAAUACUCAAAUGCAAAGUGAUAAGAUGAAAAAGGUAGUUGUGUGCAUAUUAAUAGGCCUAUUUGCCCUAAAAUUUGACCCCCGGGGAAAAGAACCGCACUAAUCUCUGAUCUCUAAUCAAAUAUCCAAAAGUGUAGGUGAGGGCUUACUUAAAGGCGGGAAGGAAGACUAACCAAGAAAAAAGGCACAUCGGUACUAGACUACGCCCAUACUCAUUGAUUGUAGCUUUGGUAUGUUUUUAGUGGGUGAGUCAAGUUGCUAGUUCACCUUAGUGAGGCUAGCAACUACAAUGAGUUCAUUACCAUAAUUAAAUGUGUAUGUUUUCAUUAAGGCAUCUCCAACGCCGAUCCUAAAACCACCUGCAACCGUCCGAACCACGCGAUUCGGACGUGUUUUGCCAUUCAAUGCGGAAAUGUAUCGGUUCGCCGACCGGUCUAGACGUGCUUUUUUUCCCGCAAACCGGAAACAAACUGGUGGGGCUUUGCGGGCAUCCGGACAGCUGCUACGCCCGCUUCUGAUUGCCCUAGCCCACCAAAAAACCCUCUCUUGUGCCCGUACGCAUUCCGGCCUGAAGUCAGCUGCCCACAUUCAUGAUGGCCCAGAGCGGACACGACCGCUCACUGCAGCCGACAUUGAAGUGGCUCACUGGCCGAGAGCGCCCCCCGCUGCUCACCCGCUGCGCACGCCUUCUCUCCGCAUUGAAGUGACAUCCGUCUGCCUGGCUACCUCCAUUAAACCGGCGCCUGUUUCGAGGAACCUACUCCGGCGCCCCAAGUGCCACAUGUAGAUUCGUGUGCCGAAUGGCAUUAAACACUUCUUUGGCUGGCUCCUCGCACCCACCCACUAUAUAAAUGUGGCCAGGCGUCGGGCUAUAAACAUACCUCACCUCCUCUCUCCAUCUCCUCCUUGUACAACACCCACCAUGGCCUCCGGCGAGUAGAAGGAGUUCUCUAGCAUUGCAGCAAUUUGGGUUUCCCCGGCGAGCUAGCCCUAUACACGUUGGCUUGCCGCCAAACCCUCCGGAUCCGGUGCCACCGCCAUCGCCAGCCCUCCUCGCCCGUCCAGGCUGGCCAAUGUCGUCUCCUGGGAACUCCGUCACAAACAAUGGCGGCAAUGCGUUAGGCAAGUGGGAAAGAAGCCAUGUCUACGGAGGUCGGCACGUCUGCGGACAACGAGGGAAAUAGAUCAUAGGAGCCCGCCGGCUCUUGGGUCCCACAAAGGCCACCGCCAACGCAUCGCCAGGUUACAGAGCCGGUGACUUGCCCGAUGAGCAGGGGAGUAGACCAUGGCGAUCGUCUUCCCCCGCCCAAAAACCAACCAUGAUCCAUGCCUCGCGGAGGCGGAGACCACUCUUCCCCUCCCAUUGAAGCAUAUCCCUCCGAGGCUCACGGCAGUCCGAUGAGCAGGCUACCAGACAUAGGGAAGACAUGUCGUGGGAGUGGAGAUCCGCCCCAAUCGGCAUUAGACUAGUUUUAGCCUAGUCCGUAUAGUUUAGUUAAAAUAUGUCCUAAAUGUAAAUGUUCGGUUUGUAUGAAAAUUAUCCGGUUUGCAUGUAAUUCAUCCAGUUUGUUCAGACUCGGCUUGAAAUGUAUGCGGGUAGCUUUGGAGGGCCACCUUCCGUAUUCGUGUCCGCGGAUUGGUCCCACCUGUCCACGGACGGAUGAGGUGCCCGGUUUGCAAGUCAGCGUUGAAGAUGCCCUUAGCUCGUAUCCAAAUGCAUUCAACAUGUCGAGAAAACAUGUACUGCUUGGUAUGCGUGCGUUGAGUUAUAUGCAAACUAAAAAAGAACGGAGGGAGUACUACUACUAGUAUCUAGGACAAUGAAUGCAUGUUUUUUAUUCAUACCCCUAUGAAGAGCGGAGCGGUAGGUAUAGAAUGUAGUGUUUUUCAAUGUUUAAGCUCUUGCUACACUCAGUUGGCGCAAAUUGGUAAUAGAAAAAAGCAAUAUUAUAUGGUAAACAUUUUGUAUUUUUACAUUUAGUCUACACCUUUGCUAACAACAUCUAUAUAUUUUAUCAUCUUGUUGUUUAAGGUGUCUGCGCUAGAAUCUUGUUGCAGGCUAUAUGUGUCAAUCUCACCGACAAGAGAACCAACAUGUCAUUUGAUGGUUACGAGAUUAGUUAUACCAUAAUCUCAUGGAUCAAACCCUAGGUUUGACGUCCAUGUGUCUUGUUAAAACGGAAUGUUCCGGUGAGAGACAACAUUCAAUCUACUCCCUCCGUUCCUAAAUAUAAGUCUUUGUAGAAAUUUCACUAUGGACUACAUACGGGCAAAAUAGAUAAAUCUACAUUCUAAAAUGCAUCUACAUACAUCCGUAUGUGAUUCAUAGUGAAAUCUCUCCAAAGACUAAUAUUUAAGAACGGAGGGUGUAGUUGUGGAAACUUCAUUAAUCUUGAAACUCCACCGCUCCGAUAUUUAUAGCGGGCUUAUGUGAGGUUAUUCGUGUGACGGUGUCCACGUGUUCGCGCGUCUAUCCGCCCCGCCCCACACACACACGAGAAGACAACGAAAACUCACCUGCAAUAUAUGCGCCAUACGGUUCAGGCCGAAUGAUUCAUCUCCUCUGUUCUAUUUUUGAAACUCAGGCUGCGGACGGACCCGAGGCGUACAAAAGUCUUGGAGUAGCGAUACAGCCGCUCCGUAAUGGGCCAAUAGGACACCACUCCAUCACCGUAGCCGCCUCCGUCGUGCGCGGUGGCCGCCGCCUCGGCCGGGAACAACUUCUUCUUCUUGGGGCCUUCGUCCCCGGGGCCGCCUGAGCCGCUGCCGCAGCGCCUGCGGUACGGUUCUUGUCCACGCCCUUUCCUGAUCUUUCUGCUCCGUCGCAGAGGUUUGGCAGAAUUUUCUCUUGGAUGUCUCAUGAGUUGGCUCUUUGUGUGGAUUUCCUUUCUCACAAACUCCAAAUUCGCUGUUGCCCAUGCCUGAUUGAUUUAUGAAAAAACAACGAGGGUUAUGAGAGCGAGGGGUGCCAGAAAACCUGUUCCGCUUAACUCGAAAUUUAGGAACCCAUUCUGAAUCUCGUAUGAAUAAACCACCGGGUGUUUAACUGAUACUCCCUCCAUUCCAAAAUAUAAUGCGCCCACGCUUUCCGAGGUCUAACUUUGACCAUAAAUUUAGCCAACGAGACCGAUUACGGCGGGAGAAAAAGUUAUAUAAUUGAAAACUUCUUUUGAAUACAAAUUCACUGGUAUAACUUUUGCUCCUGCCGCAAUCGGUCUUGUUUGUUAAAUUUUUUGUCAAAAUUAAAGCACGGGGAUAGAGAAAGCAUUAUAUUUUGGAACGGAGGGAGUACCUUGAUGACACUGCGCCUUAGGAAAUUCUCUUUUAUGUGUGCGUCGUGAAGCAGGCCGUAGCACGUCAGGGGUCAGAUAUGACACAUGACCCUGACGACGAGAGCGGCUCCAGCUCCGGCCGUGAUUGAUUUCGUUACCUAUGAGAUCAUCUACGCUUGUAGCUUUCCAACAUUUUGACUAUAAUAGUGCAAACGCGCCGAUUGAGCAUGUGCUGUUGAUUGUCCUAUCCAAUCUUGCUCGUCAGAUACUCCCUCCGUUCCAAAAUAUAAUGCGUUUUUGGUUUCCGCGCUUCAGCUUUGAUCAUAAAUUUAAUCAAUGAGACCAACUACGGUGAGAGCAAAAACUAUAGCAGUGAAUUCGUAUUCUAAAGAAGUUUUCAAUUAUAUAAUUUUACUCCCGCCGCAGUCGGUCUCAUUGGUUAAAUUCAUGAUCAAAGUUGAAUCUCGGAAAACGCGGGCGUACUAUAUUUUGAAAUGGAGGGGUAGUUUAUUAUGUGAGAUGUCUUGAACUUGGCUGCCAAGCUGCCUGCCUCCUUUGUCUCACAUGAGAUUCUGUACUCCACUUGACUCGAGCACGCUGAAAUUGACUGAUUCAGGGGCACGUUCAACUUGCUGCCAAGCGAGUGCCUCUGUUUCCCCUUGGUUUCCUUCCUAAAUCUGUCCUAGAGUGCAGGCCUAUACAAUAUUGAUGGGGUUGAUUAGUAGUAGUAGUAUACCACUGUAUAUUCUUUCACAGACAUGAUAAAUAUACCCUCACUUCACUUGUUAACGCAUACCUUCUUCACAGGUCAGAACAAGAGUGUGAGAUUUCAAGUAUGUCGCCAACCAUGGAGGAGCCCCUUGUUGGGGGCAACGGCAGCACUGACAAGACAGGAGGGCCAAAGGAGAGCUUGGUGGUGACCGAGGUCAAGAAGCAGCUGUACCUGGCUGGGCCUCUCAUCGCCGGAUGCCUGCUGCAGAACGUCGUGCAGAUGAUCUCGGUCAUGUUCGUCGGCCAUCUCGGUGAGCUCGCUCUCUCGAGUGCCUCCAUCGCCACCUCCUUUGCCGGUGUCACCGGCUUCAGCUUGUUGGUAUAUAUAUUAUGUCAAUUUCAUCUCCUGCAUAUUUUGAUCCUCCUGAAUAAACAGCUAACAUCAACUUGAAUGUUUUUUCCUGUAUCUGUUCAUGAUCAUCUUAGGCUGGCAUGGCGAGCAGCUUGGACACACUGUGUGGGCAAGCCUUCGGGGCGAAACAGUACUAUCUGCUCGGCAUCUACAAGCAGAGGGCGAUCCUUGUGCUCACGCUGGUGAGCGUUGUGGUUGCGGUGGUCUGGGCCUACACCGGGCAGAUCCUCCUGCUCUUCGGCCAGGACCCGGAGAUCGCCAUGGGGGCGGGGAGCUACAUCCGGUGGAUGAUUCCGGCACUGUUCGUCUACGGGCCGCUGCAGUGCCACGUCCGGUUCCUCCAGACGCAGAACAUUGUCCUCCCGGUGAUGGCGAGCUCGGGCGUCACGGCGCUGAGCCACGUGCUCGUGUGCUGGUUGCUGGUGUACAAGCUUGGGCUGGGCAACAAGGGCGCUGCCCUGGCCAACGCCAUCUCGUACCUGGCCAACGUGUCAAUCCUGGCUCUCUACAUCAGGCUCUCUCCAUCCUGCAAGAGCACUUGGACAGGGGUCUCAAAGGAGGCGUUCCGCGGCAUCGUUAGCUUCAUGAAGCUCGCCGUGCCAUCUGCGCUCAUGGUUUGGUGAGUUUUAGCUUGUGCCCCACCCCUCAGAUUAUUUGCAUUGCAGGUAGAUUUUUUUCAUGGCCCAUCUUCUGACUUAAUCUGAUCCUGCAUGUACACAGCUUAGAGUGGUGGUCGUUUGAGCUGUUGGUGCUUCUCUCCGGCCUUCUCCCAAAUCCUAAGCUGGAGGCAUCCGUGCUGUCCAUCAGGUGAGUUGCAGCAUUUUCAUGGAGUGUUUCACAUUUUGUGUGCCCUUUUCUGACGGGAAAUGUCGAACCCCUUGCAGCUUAAACACAGGUUCGUUGGCAUUCAUGAUCCCCUUCGGGCUUGGGGCAGCCAUAAGGUACUACCACUGAACAACUCAGACUCAUAACCUUUUGCCAUGCCUGUAUUACAACGUUAUCGUAUAGCCAUUGUGGCAAUGAAAUCGUGUAUCUUGUGAUUGUAGCACCCGUGUCUCGAACGAGCUUGGUGCUGGGCGACCGGAAGCUGCAUGUCUGGCUACUCGUGUGAUCAUGGUUCUGGGUCUCGCGACGGGUGUGUCGCUAGGACUUAUUAUGAUUUCAGUGCGCAAUCUAUGGGGGUAUGCAUAUAGCAACGAGAAGGAAGUGGUGGAGUACAUUGCGAGGAUGAUGCCUAUUCUCUCCGUGUCCAUCAUUUUCGACGAUCUGCAAUGUGUUCUUUCAGGUAAAUUAAAUAUAUACGACGCAAAUCCCUAGUAGUUGCAGACUAGUUCCUGAAUUUCCUUCAACUUUAGUCUAUCUUUUUGUCUGGUAUCAUUUCGAUGAACAUCAUUGAUCAUGUACUGAUUGCAACGUGGUGUACUUGAUAUUCCAGGUGUUGUUAGGGGUUGUGGUUUGCAAAAGAUCGGUGCUUGUGUCAACCUCAGUGCAUACUACCUUGUCGGCAUCCCGGCGGCGCUAUGCUUUGCCUUUGUCUACCAUCUUGGCGGAAUGGUAUUGAUUUUACCACCCAUACCAUACAGAGAGUUCCAGCUUCACUUGUAGUAUUUCUCGUUUGAAGAAACCUCUCUAAACCUAUGGGUCUGAACUUCAGGGGCUGUGGUUCGGAAUAAUCUGCGGACUAGUCGUGCAGAUGAUGUUGCUGCUGGCCAUUACCAUGUGCACCAACUGGGAUAAAGAGGUGGGCAAAUUUCAAACCAAAACUUCUACCACGCACACACGCAUUGUUUCGUCGGCUUCUCGGCAUCUCGAGUUCUUAAAAUGUGUGGCUCACCAUAUUGCAUUUCUCUUGUGUAGGCUCUCAAGGCAAAGGACAGAGUCUUCAGUUCGUCCCUGCCUCUUGACAUGACGACAUGAGCAUGGGACAAAGAUGCAGAAUUGCUCUUGGCCAGGACCAGUACGCUAGCUGGGCAAAGGAGAUAAGAAACUCGUCAGGAAUUUGGUUACCGCUUCGUCUCCAUGUCACCAGCAUGGCCGUGGCGCUUCCUCGAAGGAAACGUCACCCAACGACCAACGAGUGAUCUGUUUUGGUGAUUUUUGUAGAAGAAGUGAGAUGGCGAUGGGAUGUUUUCACAGGCAAAAGGCAUGGCACUUGAUACGAUGAUAAGGGAAUAAAGUAAAAUGUGGUGUGUACUAGAAAAUCCGCUGUAUGGAUGCAACAUUGAGAAUUGAGUAGAUUAUUUUAAUUUCUUGGUUACAAAUAUUAGAUGCAGUCACUGUUGUCAUUUACAGUGAUUACGUGUGUACUUCGUGCUCCGGAGCUCCUAUCCUAUUCACCGCCUUCAGCAUACACUAUACCACCAUGUUUGAAGUGAAGGGUUGUGGCUAGAACCGCCGCCGCGGCCUUUUCCGUUGUCACCAUCGCUCGUCGACCUAUCCAUCGGUACUCGCUCCAAUUGCCAUCUCCCGUCAACACAUGGCUCCGCCCUGCUCUAGCCGUCGGCCGACCAUCCCUUAAACCCAGCAGCACACCGCACCUUCUCCGGCGAGCCUCCGCACCCUGCACCCUAACCUACGCACUCCGAUAGCCUCUUUCUCUGGCUCGUUGCCGCCACAGAAGCUAAAUGGGCCAGAACCGUUGUCAUGACAAGGUGCAUGAGUAGGUUCCUUCUUGCUAGUUCACAUGUUCUUUGUUUCGUCACUAAAUCUAAAACUAUCCCUCAUGAUAUCCCUAAGGGCCUCUUUGAUUCGCAGGAUUUUUUUUUAAAAAAAAAACCCUAUAUUAAUUAAUUAAUAAUGUUAUUGCAAUCAUUCAUUACAAAAUUCGUCACACAGGGCGAAACACUAUUAAGAAGAAUCCCAUCAGAUUUAUUUAUAAAGCUAAACUUCGCAAUUUCGUGCGCCACCUUAUUGGCCUGCCGAUUAAUUUUUGCAAUUUUAAAAUUCUUGAGCAUCGUCAAUAUACUCAAGGCUUCUUUCUUCAAUUUUAAUUUCUUUGAUUCGCAGGAUUUUAAAAAUGUGGGAAUAAGAAAAACAUAGGAUUGUAAUGUCAUGCUGCUCUCAAUUCUAUAGGAUUUUGGUUUGUUUUUACAUCAUAGGAAAAACAAAGGAUGCUUUCAAAGAGGUUAGAGUGGAUGUUAGAAAUUCUAUGAAUCAAACAACCAAAAUAUGAAAAAUUCCUAAGGAUUGUAACCCUCCAAAAUUCCUAUAAAAAUCCUUUGAAUCAAAGGAGCCCUAAGUUUAGUUGAAUAAAAAUAAUGAGUAUCAUCAAGUAGACGAAUGCAAGACCAUCACACGUAGUAGCAAAGGCAUCGAACCACAUAUGCUCCUCUCGAAAACAGUGGGCGUGUUUGGUUGCCUGCGUAGUUCCAGCCUGUGCAUCGUAUGGAGGAUCCUGGGUGAGGCUGGCUUGGUUGAACUGAUGCAAAGAUCAGCCGAGAUGUGUGUUUGGUGAACUAUAUGAGAUGGUGUGCCAGAGGUGUUGCAUACAACAUAUGUUGUUUGGUAGGGCAUUAGAGCUUAUUUCUGCUACCUCUUCUCUUCCACUUUCAGUCAUUCUUGUUGGAUCUGGACCAUUCCAUAGACAAACAAAAUAAGUAAAACAAAUCUUACCUGAAACCUAAGCGCAAACUCAAGUUUCAAUUUUAUUUAUUAGAAAUUCCUCAAACCAAUGACAACAUUUUUCACAAGUAACAAGAUCCGGGNNNNNNNNNNNNNNNNNNNNNNNNNNNNNNNNNNNNNNNNNNNNNNNNNNNNNNNNNNNNNNNNNNNNNNNNNNNNNNNNNNNNNNNNNNNNNNNNNNNNNNNNNNNNNNNNNNNNNNNNNNNNNNNNNNNNNNNNNNNNNNNNNNNNNNNNNNNNNNNNNNNNNNNNNNNNNNNNNNNNNNNNNNNNNNNNNNNNNNNNNNNNNNNNNNNNNNNNNNNNNNNNNNNNNNNNNNNNNNNNNNNNNNNNNNNNNNNNNNNNNNNNNNNNNNNNNNNNNNNNNNNNNNNNNNNNNNNNNNNNNNNNNNNNNNNNNNNNNNNNNNNNNNNNNNNNNNNNNNNNNNNNNNNNNNNNNNNNNNNNNNNNNNNNNNNNNNNNGGGGGGUAGAAGGAUGAGGGGGUGGAAGAGGAUGGGGAUGGGAGAGAGGAGGUGGAUGGGCGGAGCUGCCUUCAUACAUGCAGAUAUGCUGAUACAUGAACAAAUGAAGGCCCAGUUCUUUUCGCCUCAUGAUUCUCCAGAGUCUGAUUCCAGGAAACGUCCAGUUCUUUUCUGAGAUUCCAGCUUGAGGUUGUUGUGUGAGUUGAUCGCUGGAAUAUCUGUAACACCCCUAGAUUGGAACUAUGUGUUGAAUUGCUAAUACUUGGUUAAUUCGAACAGUUCACGUCUAAUAUAAGCACGAAAGCGAUUUAUGAACAUUAUGAAGCACUAAAUAUUGCACAAAAGAAAAGUGUUUGAUCUAACAAUCCUUAGCAUACCAACUAUCUCCCACACGAACACGAUAGCACCAUCAGCACAUCUAACAUUCAUCAGCAUAGCAUUGUCCAGCACACAACAACAAACAUAGAACUUUUGACAACAACAAUAGCCAUUAGCAAUAACCCAACUACACGCUAUUAUCACACACACACCAGGAGCAGCCAUUAGCAACAGCAGAGCAGCCAUUAGCAGCACCAUAGUAUGUGUGGCACCCACGGCCUCGCUGCGUCCAUGGUGUCCAAGGCGGCAAGAGACGUCGGCUAUGCCACCGUCCCGUCGACGGCUGCAUGAGAUGAGUGGGUGGAUGUAGAGAAGCCACAGGGAGGCAUGAGCGCCGCGCACGUCCAUGGCAAUAAACAGUGCGAUGAAUCGACGCGGUGGAGGAGGUAGUGUCGACGUUGGCCUGCCGACCCAGAAGCGGGGCGGAGUGUAGCGGUGAGGCGGCGACGGGGAGAUGAGAGGAACCGCUCGUGCACAGGUCCUUUGGCCCGAGUGGCAUUUCUUCUGUAAUUACCCCCUCAAGUAGGGCUAUGCUCUUAAAACGAAAUGUCUUGUUUUGAUUCUGCGAUGCACUGCAAUUCUCAGAUUUUCUACUCCCCAGACCAAAGAGUUUCAGGCCCAUAUAUCACACUACACUGUGCUAUAACAAGGUUGGUAGAUAGUACAUUGUUUGCAGAUUAAUUAUACUGAUAACCAUGAAUUUAUUAACUAUGGCAUUUCAGAAAAGUAUUCUUUAAAUUGAUAUGGGGCCAUUUCACGGUUUACAAGUAUCACAGGGAGUCAUUACCUAAGUUCCUCCCACUAUGACUAGCCUAAGUGUGAGCAUAUUCAUAUAUCUUUACUGCCCCUUUCCCCAUUUAUGAGGUUUCUCUAAAAAAAUCAUAAAAAGACUAAACAACCAUAUUUUUAUCACAAGGCAAUAGCUAUAAGGGCUGAAGGUGAGGGGCUAACACACAGAAAACUAAUUUUAUCACAAGGCAAAGGGGCCAACACACAGAAAACUAAUUUUAUUCAAAAAAAGGGUGUAUCCAGAAGAUGUUAUUCCACUAGUCCUUCCCUGACUAAAAGCUUAAUAUGGCAAGCGGAUGGAUCAGAGAAGGAAACGGAUGCAGAACAUCAAGCAUCCACCACCUGGACAAUCAGAUGGCCUACAUCCACAAUCAGAUGGAACUGCAAACUAACAAGGCACGAUAACCAUCACACUAGAACAUCAACUAGCAGCCACUAGCACAAUCAGAUGAACUGGAAACUAACAAAGUACAAUAACCAUCACACUGCAGCACCAACAAGCAGCUAUAGAUAAUAGUGUUAACAAGCAAAAGUUCGAAUUUCAUGCAGGAUAUCGAAUACAUUGUACUUAGAUAGCAGCGGUGUCCACACAGAACAUAAAAUUCAUGCAACUUCUGGGCAAAACUCGGCCGGCAAAUCAUUCACUCCUAACCUAG
rnacentral:lncRNA from 1 species